rnacentral:lncRNA from 1 species
ACCAGAGUCGGAUGUGUAUAGCUUUGGGAUGGUGGUCCUGGAGGUGGUGUGUGGGAAGAGGUCAAAGGGGAUUACAGAAGAGGACAACUUGGUGGAUUAUGUGUGGAGUCUCUAUGGAGAAGGCUUACUCUCGGAGUGUGUGGAUGAGCAAAUGGAAGGCCAAUUUGAUGAGGAGCAAGUGGAGAGGGCACUAAUAGUGGCCCUUGCUUGCUUGCACCCUUACUCUGCAUGCAGGCCAAAGAUGCGAAAGGUGGUCCAAAUUUUCCUGAACCCAGACGAGCCGCUGAUGGAGCUGCCCAAGUCCCGACCCAGCAUGGCCUUUGUGCCUGUCUCAUUCUCGGGCUUGACCACUUUCACCUACUCCUCCACAUCCAAGACCAAUUCUGCCUUCACUCGCUCACGACUCGGUCCACCCCCGGAGAUAGAACUUGAUCAUGAACAUGGGAUGCCGGGGUUGCAUUAAUGGUCUCAAGAAUUGAAGAUUGUAUCAGAAAAUUUCAGGUGAUUCAUAUCUGAGUCAUUUAUGAAUAAGUGUCAUACAUGAAUAAGUUUUACUCUUUAUUAUGUUACGAUGUAGUGCGGAAUGGAUACUCUUUGAAGGUAGCUGUGCUGUAUUUACUCUAUGAAUGUUAUGUUCUCAUGUGAAAUUGAGUUGGAGUUGUUCAAGUCAUGCCACCUCAUUGCAGGAGUUACACGGAGCAAACAAAGAAGAAGACCCGCUUAAAUCAGGAAUGAUAUACAUAUGUGGAUUGUAUAUUUAUGAAUUUCAAGGCUCACGACUUAGUUCACCACCAAAGAUAGAACUUGAUCAUGAACAGGGGAUGCUGGGGUUGUGUUAAUGGUCUUGAGAAUUAAAUAAUAUAUGAGAAAAUUUCACGUGAUUCAUAUCUGAGUCAUACAGAAAUGAGUUUUACUCAGUAUUAUGCUAUGAUGUAGUGCAAAAUGGAUACUAUUUGAAGCUAGCUGUGCUGUAUAUACAUUCCUCUGUGAAUAGUAUGUUCUUAUGUGAAAUUGAGCCGGAGUGGUCCAAGUAAUGCUUGCCGCCUCAUUGUAGGAGUUACAUGAUGAAGAAGAAGACCCACUUAAAUCAGGAAUGAUUUAAAUAUGUUGAUUUGUAUAUUUAUGAAAUGAAUGAGAAGUGUUUCACUUGCUCAUAGCUCAGAUCACCAUAGGAGAUAGAACUCGAUCAUAAACAGGGGAUGUCAGGGUUGCGUUAAUGGUCUUGAGAAUUAAAGAUCAUAUUGGAAAAUUUCACAUGAUUCACAUCUAAUUCAUAUAGGAAUGAGUUUUACUCUAUAUUAUGCUAUGAUGUGGUGCAUAAUGGACACUCUUUGAAGCUAGCUUGUUGUAUUUACACUCCUCUGUGAAUAUUACGUUCUUACGUGAAAUCAAGCUAGAGUGAUUCAAGUCCUAACGUCUCAUUGCAAGAGUUACAUGAAGCAUAUGAAGAAGAAGACCCACUUAAAUUAGGAACGAUUUACAUAUGUUGAUUUGUAUAUUUAUGUAUUUCAAGGCUCAAAUUAAUUUAAUGAAAGAAAAAUAAUGUGUAAAAUGAAAGAGAAGAGUUUCUGGCAAGAGAGAGAGCUUGAUUUUGCAGCUACAGGGAAGUUACAUAUGUCGAUUUGUAUAUUUAUGAAUUUCAACGCUCAAAUUAAUAUAAUGAAAGAAAAAUAAUGUGUAAAAUGAAAAAGAAGCGUUUCUAGCGAGAGAGAGAGAGAGAGAGAGAGAGCUUGGUUUUGUAGUUACAAGGAAGUCCCACAAAAAAAUAAAAGGCAAAUUGACGUGCGUUUACCGAGAGUCGAAAUCUCUCCUUUCCACGGUCGCUGCACGGCUAACGAACCAUUGGGCAGAUUAGGCUCGAGCAUCAUGGUUGAGAUAAAAGCAGAAGCAAACAUCUAAUGAAUGCAGGUAAGCAUUUAGGGCCACACCUGUGCCAACUGACACAUCACAUGAAUGGGUUGUUCCGUCUUCGCCCAAUCAAGAACAAGUCGAAAACCCGAGAUUCUUAGGUCAGCCUUGGGUACUCCACACUGGAUUGCCGAGUGACAAGCGGCGAACACUCCUUUCACGACCGCAUUAGUAGUUCUCCAACUCUACAUUUGAAUCAGUCAUUGGAAGGCUUAUUAAGUGGACGGGCCUUGGCUCGCACCUAACCCUGUUGUGGAGUGCGAGUUUUGACUCCAAGGAUCAAAUGAAGCACGCCCAAUCCUGAAUCAUAUAAUGAACUUUAUGCAUCACCGACGUUCAAGAGAAAUAGAUAUAUUUCACAUCCUGAAUGAUAUUAAAGUUGAUGUUCGGGCCAUACUAUCUCACAUCCCUUUUUACUUGAAAACACACCCUUUUGGGUCUUUUCAUAAAUAUAUUCAUGUUGUUGACUUUUACUUUUUUGGUGGAAAUAGAACCAUAACAUCGAUAUAAACAUAAGUACAUAAAGAAAGAGCUCUCCAAACAAGGUUGUCGGCAAUGCUACUACUGUAAAAAUGGAGAGUGCUAGAAUUAUAGACUUAGUUUGGAGUAUUAUUAAAAAGAAUGUUGUUAGGUGAUUGGAUAUUACUAAGUAAACCAUUCUUAUUAGUAAGUUUCAAUAUCUUUUAGCCAGCAGUGCGCUAUAUGCGAUUUGAGUAAUUAGAUAGUGAUGUGGUACUUCUAUUCAUAUAAGCAAAGAUAGUAAGGCCGAUUAAAGUCUAAAAAGAGCAUGAUUACGAGCAGCCAGUGAAAUAAUAAUUGGAGUUCUUAACUUACAUAAAAAAAAAAAGAGAAGAUAAAAAGGAGAAAUGCACAAAAUGAUAAUUGAGAUGAACUAUGUGAUCCUAUAUUAAAAAGUAAAAAUACUGCAUACCCUCCUUAUUUUUUCAUUCUAUUACCACUUUUCUCUCCUUUUAGUUUUUGAAGUACAUUCUACAUCUUAAGACAAACCACAUUAUCUAAAGAACCAAAUUGCCGUCCCUUAUAGAGGGAAAAAAAAAAAUCCCCCUUUAGGGUGAGCAUAUAGAACAGCCCGAAUUGGAACCACUUGAACUGAAUCAAACCGGCUGAUUUUGGGCAGCUCUAGAGGGUGCCGGUUUGGUUCUUGAUUCCAUAAAAUUGAAAUUGGUGAUUUUUGGUCCGGUUCUCGGUUCCAAGGAGAGAACCAGACUGAACAAACCAGACCAAUUUAAAUAUAUUUUCAAAAAGUAAAGUGUAAACCCAAACUCUAAUAUCCUCUCACACCUCGCUUAUUCCAAAUGAUGAAGUAAAUCUUUGUUUCUUUCAUAUUACUGUAUUGGUUCAUCCAAGUUGCUCCUUUUGUUUCUUGCUUCUUUCUUUAUUUCACCUUUUCUUCUUUUCCUACAAAGAUUCACUAAUUUUACCUCCCUCGCUUACUCAUACUUUGUGAGUCCAUCAUUUAUAAAAAAGAAUCCACCAAAUAAUCCUCAAUUUUUCGAGCAUGCCCCACCCCCCCCCCCCCCCCCCCCCCAAAUAAGCAUGGCCCCAUCAUCUCUCAAUCUUCUUCGCAAAUUUUGGAUGAAUCCCAAACUUGAAUUGCAACAUGGCUUGGGAAUUCAAUUAAUUAAAACAGAGUGAGUUGGACUUGUUAGAGUUCCAGUUCCAUUUGUUGUAUUUGAAUGUUCCUUAGGUAGAGGUAUAAAACCUUUUUUAGAUAUACAGGAUCAAAGUUGUCAGGUCUAAUUGGAGUGACGAGUAAAAACUUUUAACCAAGAUAUAGAAUCCACUGAUUCUAUUGGAUUGCUCGGGAAACACACCGGUUUGGUCUAGUCCCAGGACUAGAUGAUUUGCUUCUUAGUUCCUAGUUCCUGAAUGAAAUUGAACCAACUCACGAACCGAUCAUCCCUAAUCCCCCUAACUCUAUGAUGUAAACUCACAUUUCGAGAAACUAUUAAUACAAAGUGAUAAUAACUUGAAAGUAGCAAAAUAUUUGUUAUUUUUUUUUUUUUAAAGAUAAGGCUAUAUUUGGCAAUUAGGAUAAAAUUCAUAAUAGGAUAAUAUCAUAUCCCGCAUUUGGUGUUUGCUUAGGACAAGAUAAAGAUGGAUAUAAGAAAGAUAUAGCCCUAAAAAAAUUAUCAUAUGAGGAGAUAGGAUAAAUAUGGAUAUGAUUUCUAAUAUUCGUAAUAGGAAAAUUAUAUUUCUUGAAUACUUUUUUUUUAAAUUAAUAAAAUUAAAAAUAUAUGUAAAUAUAAAUAAUAUUUGAAUUAUAAUAUAAAAAAAUUCAAAAAAACAAAAAAUAACAUUUUAAAAAAAAAUUAAUGUUAUUAUUUAAAAAUUCGAAUUUAAUUCUAUCUUAUAAUAUAAAUCUGAUAUAUAGAUUUAAGGCAAAAUGACAUUGUUACGUCUCAUGUUUUAGCUAUGUCAGCAUCACGUGAGAGAGAAAAUAUGAAAAGAAAAAUCACCUCAGCGUUUUUUGAUAGUCAAAUCAAAUAGAUUAAAUGAAAUGACUUGUUUGCAUUUUUUUUUAAAGUGAAACUAUCUCUAUUUAUCAUUAAGAAAGUCUGCACCUUAUUGGACUACUUCAAAAAGUGCAAGCUACUAAGAACCGGCGCCCAAAAGCUCAUCAUAUAUCUUUAGAACUUUCAAUUGACAGGUCCAUAGGAGAGAGUUAUGACCAAGUAAACAAUUAAUAUGCUGUAAAGAAGGCUCGCAAGAGAGGAGAUGAAAAUUACUUGCCCCACGCUGAAGAGGUCAAUUGCGCAAUGCAAUGAAACAUUUCAUUUUCAAACGUGCAAGGACGCCCACGCAUUAUGCUUUGACUAGGGAAAGAGAAGAACCACUUUGUGUUCUUUUGGGCUCAUAUGCAUUACCCGCAUCCAAUUAAAUCAAAAGGCCUCCUUAGCUUGUCAUUGAAUAGAUAUAUGUCCCUAUAUCUCCACGUCCUAACGAGGCAAGAGACUGCAUCUCCUUCCAAUCAUAGGUAGUCAAUUCUUCGGGGGCAAGAAAGAAACAAACCCUAAAAACGGGAUAAGUACACUCUUAGUGCCAAAAGUUGUGUAUGGCGCUCACUUUGGUACCAAAAGUUUCAAUUGGAUCACUUAAGAGCCAAAUCGGAGGAAAAACGAUCACUUUGGUGCCACCGAUGAGAGAUUCUGACCAAAAUGAUUAUGUGGCUUUUAUAUUUAAAAAAAAUCGACAUGGCUUGAGAAACGACGUCAUUUUCCGUCCGCCUUAAGAAAACGACGGCAUUUUGCCAUCCUAAAUGGAUGGCCUCACAAAAGCGAUACCACACAACUCAUUUUGGGAUUUUUAUUUUAUUUUAUUUGGAGAUUGAAAUUAGGGUUCUGAUCCUCAUCGGCUGCCGACCUACCUCUCUUGGCCGCCGUUGCUCGGCCGUCGACCUAGCUCGCUUGGCCACUAUCACUCAGCGACGUGAGGUUCACACUUGAGCGAGAUCACAGCCUUCGACUUGGCUGCCGAGUGGCUGUCAUCGGGGUCGGGGUCGGAACCGUGGCCGCCGAGCAUGGGGGCCGUCGAGGAUGGUGACUGGCCCAUCACCAGCGGAGGUGGAGGUGAGGGAUGUGGGCGGUUGAAGGGGGAGGAGGAGGGAAAAUCAUCGUAAUUUUUAAAACAACACCAGGGAGUGGCCAAGAUUAUCUGAUAGGUCGAAUCGGAACCGGUUGUCGUUGAUGAAAAUGGCGUCCAGAUCCUUGUCGAAGAGCUCCCGUGGGACCGACCCGUCGAACUCGUUGAACUAGAGGUCCAAGAACUUUAGUGCCGGGAGCUCUAGCACGACCCUCGGGAACUUCUCGGCGAACUGGUUGUUGCUCAGAUCCAGCUCGAAGAGUCGCUUUAGGUUUCAGAACUUCUGCGGCACACUCGGUUGGAGUUGAGGUGGAAGAGCGCGAGGUCGGCGAGGAAGCCGAGCUCCUCGGGGAGGUACCCGACGAUGUCGCCAUGGUUGAGGUCGAUGCCAGUGACGAUGCGGAUGUUGAGGUUGUCGGGGGCGAGGAAGCAUAAGACAUUAGAGUAGCUGCAGAUGUCGAGGUCGACCCAGUUGGCGGUGAAGUUGUUGGGGUCGAAAAGGAUGGCCUGCUUUAGGGCUUGGAGGGCGACAUAGGCGUUGCGGAGGUGUGGGUUCUCAAAGGAGGCGGAGGGGUCGACGGUGACUUGCUCGCCGCGAUUGCUGAACUCGUUGAGGUAGUGGAGGAGGUGGCGAUGCUUGGCGGCGCCAUGGGCGAUGGCGGAGAGGACAGUAAGGGAGGAGAGGAGGAUGAAGAGGGCAGUGGUGGUUGAGAUUGUCCAGCAAAUUUAGGGUUUAGGAUUUUGAAUUGGGGGAGAGACACCAAACGGCAUCAUUUUGUUGUUUAAAUGCUAACUGUACUCUCUGGCGAGCCACAUUAGCUUCAAAAAUAAAUAAAAAAGUACUAUGUCGGAUUUCUGGCCAACCGGAUCGGUAUUGGCACUAAAAUGAUUUGAUUGAAACUUUUGGCACAAAAGUGAGCGCUAUACACAACUUUAAUACUGAUAGUGUACUUAUCCUCCCAAAAAACACUGAUAGUGUACUUAUCCUCCCAAAAAACUGAAUACAACCAAGAACAAGAAUUCACUUCUUUCCCAUCCCGCCAAUCCAUGGCCCUCGUAACUUCGAUUGGAUCCCCAUCUCGACUCAUGUCACAACCCAAGAGGACAAAUUAGGAAGCAAACCUGCGAACCGUUCUAUAUAUGUGCCAACACUGCCUCAUCUGUUUUACAGGGUCUCUCGCAUACGAACCAUGUUCUUGCUUCUGAUCUUGGUCUCGAUCUUCAUCGGUUCUCGGGAAGUUUAUUCUUCGACUUCUUCUUCUAGUCUUGAGCCUACAAAUUUCUUUUUCCCUUCUUUUGACCUCAGCUCUUGCACCUGCGAGGAGCUCAUUAACAUGGGUUCAGCGAGCUUGCAAGACAGGUAUUUGAACAUCACACCAGAGCUGAAGGAGUAAGGUAAUUUGAGCCUUGUGCCCAUGCCGACAAACUGGGUAGGGCGGGCUCUUUAUUCCCGGCCGGUCGUGGCUUGGCCUGCCAUGAUCUCCACCAUGUUCGCUGUCAGGAUCACCACAUUACCGAAUUCCAUAGCCUCUAGCAACGGGAUGUCUUUUCUCUUUGCACAAGAUAAUAGCUCCUCACCAUCGGACAAUUACGGCUCAUCUAUCUGGAUUUUUAAUCAGUCCACUCAAGGUACCUCCACCUAAUCCUUUGUUAGAUGAAUAUGAAAUCUGUGGUAGUUUGCCGGAGUGUUGAUUGAAAGACAAUCUCUUUUCGACUGAAUAUAUAUAGGCGGCGUUGUCCGACAACUAGCCGUGGAAAUGUAUACUUUCAUGAACAAGUUUGAUCCCAACGGGAACCACGUAGGCAUAGACACAACAAGGUUAUUAAUCCAGUCUAUGCCGAGAGCCUAAACAACAUAGGAGUGAACCUAAAAAGUGAAAGGGACAUCAAAGUCAGAAUUGACUAUGAUGGCUAUAAAUAUAAACUCCACAUCUCAUUGGCAUAUUCUGGGAAUUCGCUAAUAAGCGUUCUCAAUCAUUCAAUCAGAAUGUCGGAAACGGUCCCCAGUCUUGUGUAAGUGGGUUUUUUGGGAUCUACUGGGCCUCUACCCGAAAGCCAUCAGGUCAUUAAUUGGGUAUUCGUCUUUUUUCCUUUAUCAUUGGAGAAGCGGCUCAAGAGAGACGACAGGAUCAAAACCACACUGAUCUGGUCGUGCCAAGCGUGAUGACAGUAUUGUUCAUCGUGUUAUGCGUCUACCUACUCAUUGAGAACACGCCCAGGAAGAGAAACAAGAAGGAUGCCGACAUGGAGAGCUAAUCGAGGCAGGCUGCGAACGUUCCAAAGAUGUUCACCUACAAGGAGCUAGCGAAGGCCACUCACAACUUCAGAAAGGAGCCGGCUUGCUACUGAUGGUUUCAGAAGAGUUUACAGAGGUUUUAUCUCAGAUCCUCCGGUUGAAGUAGCCGUGAAAAAGAUCUCGGCAACCUCAAAACAAGGUCUGCUUCCAUACUUGUAUCACAUCCUUUUAGCACAUUUUCUUGAACAUGGUCCUGUUAAUAAGAUCUAAACAUCACGUAAAUAUGGUGCUGGAGCAAUUUUGUAUUUCGCUUUUGUUCAUAUUCAUCACUAGUCACCACAACUGCGAAGAUCCUGUGUGAAGAAGUUCUCGAUUUCACUAUUUGCCAAUUAACUUUAGGGUAAUUUUUCAACCUCAAAUUCAAUAGGAGAAAGAAAGUAUUUGGUAGAGAUAUGCACCAUUGGAAGGGUGAGGCACAAGAACAUAGUAUAGCUCCAACAUUGGUGCAACGAGGGGGAACAACUUCUACUAGUCUACCAAUACAUGGCUAACGGUAGCUUGGACCGCUUUAUUGGCAAGUAGUCCCUCGGCUGGGAGACCCAAUACAAGAUCCUGACUGGCCUGGCAUCAACGUUGCUCUACCUCCAUGAAGAAUGCGGGAACCCCGUGGUCCACCAAGACGUCAAGCCCAACAACGUCAUGAUGGACUCCAAGUACAAUGCCUACUUGGGUGACUUUGGUCUCGCAAGGCUGCUCCAGAACGACGCCUCAGUCACUACCAUUCUUGUGGGCACCCCAGGUACCUGGUCUCGGAGGUGGCAUACACAGGGAAGGCCACGCUGGAGCCGGCCAUGUAUAGCUUUGGGAUGGUGGUCUUGGAGGUGGUGUGUGGGAGGAGGUCAAAGGGAAUCAUGGAAGAGAACAGCUUGGUGGAUAAUAUGUGGAGUCUCUACUAAGGAGGCUCACUCUUGGAGUGCGUGGAUGGGAAAAUGGGAGGCCAAUCUGAGGAGGAGCAAGUGAAGGGGGCAUUGAUAGUAGGUAUUGCUUGGCUGCACCUAUACUCUGCGUUUAGGCCAAGGAUUCAAAAGGUGGUCCAGAACCUGAACAAGCCACUGAUGGAGUUGCCCGAGUCCUGACCAGCGGGGUACCGGUCUCAUUCUCGAGCUUGACCACCAUCGGCUUCUCCUCCAGGACCAGGUCCGCCUUCCAUCCCUCACAGCUCAAUUCACUGCAUGAGAUUGAACUUGAGCAUGAAUUGGGGAUGCCGGAGUUGUGAUGAUGCCAUCGAGAACUAGAGAUUGAAUUGGAAAACUUCGACCAGUUCGUGUUUGAAUUGUACAAGAUUGAGUUUUCUUUUUGAGUACUUGUUAUGUUACACAUGUUGUGCAGAAUGAAUAUUCUUAUAAAGCUAGGUGUGUUUACGUUCCUCUGUGAAUAUUACAUCCUUACAUGAACUGGGGAAACGACAGACGUACAUUGUUUGACCAAAAUGAAAUCGAACUUCAGUAUUUCAAGUCAUGACGCCUCAUGGCAGGAGUUACAUGGAGCACACAAAGAAGAAGACUCAUUUGAAUUAGGAACAAUUUACAUAUGUUGAUUCGCAUUUAAAAAUAUAAAAUAAAAAUCAAGGCUCAAAUUAAUCUAGUGAAAGAAAAUGAUUAACACCAUGAAACACCCUAAACUGACAUACAUAUGAUAAAUUUACAUAAAAUAAUUUUUUAAUCACAAAAAAAUCCCUAACUUAUUAAAAACGUGGAAAGCAACGUGUAAAUGUAACGUAGCGGGAAAAAGUCCAACACCAGUUGUUCCUAUUGGGAAAUCACCCUUGGUUUGUUGGCUGGGUCCACCUUCAUGUGGAGUCUAUCUAGCAUUAAAAAAAAGAAAAAAAAAAAGAAAAGAACGAAAAGAAGUGGAAGUGGUGAUGUGCGUGUGUGUCCAAAAAGUGAAGAAAACAGAGAAAACAAAAACUGCAAAAGCAAGGGGGAAGAGAAGAAAAGAAGAGGGCUGCAACUUUGCAACUUUGGUUCGAAGGCCAAAUAUUGACGGAAUUGGCUCAAAUUUCAGUAUGUUGUUCGUGAGAUCGAGGGCUACAAGUUGAUGAUUUUUGUUCGUCAAGAACCGUCCCCGAAUUCUCCAGUUGCGGUUAAGGUUUUUUUGCUCAAAACUUGUUUAUUUACCUAUGUGGUGAGAAAAUGAUGAUUGUAAAGUUGAUAUUGAACCUCUAGUGUGUGAUUAGAGAAUAAUACUUUGUGUAUCAUACUAUUCUUGGUGAUUAGUGGAUGUUUUUGGGUGGUCCGUGGUUUUUCCCGCAUCAGGUUUUCUAUGUUAAAUCCUUGGUGUCAUUAUUUGCUUUGUCUAUUUAUUAUUUUAGCAUUAUAUUUGCAUAUUGUGAGGCUAUACAUUGCUGGUUGUUGUUGGAAGUUAAGAGAAUUUUAUUUGAUUUAGUUUCUGGGAAAAAUUGAUCCUGGAUUGCAUUUGGCCGUGGUGAAUUAUUGUACCCGAGUUCUCCCCAACAUGGUCCAUCCCCUCCAUUCUCAAAGGCCCUUGAAAGGCCCCCCCCCCCCCCCCCCUCGGGUCGGUUUUUAGGUACUAAUAGGAUUUAAAAAAGCUAAUUGGAAAAAAUUAAAGAGAAAAGAAGACUCUAGAGAUGAUCAUAAAAAGUCAAUUGUUUUUUUCUUCUUUAUUGUUAUUUCAACUUUUUCGAGAUCACAAACAAUGUCUAUUGCCAAGAUUGUCUUAGUGCAUUUACAAGGUUGUUCUCAUGGAAAUUUCAAUACUGGGCAAAUUACAAUGGCCUUUCAAGUUAAUUUUAGGCUCUAUUCAUUUCACAAAAAAUAUAACAUUUUUGGAAAAUGUUUUCUACGAAAUGUUUCUUUUAGAAAAAUGACAAUAUUUUCUGAUGUUCAAUUGAAAUCUAAAAAUAAAGUGGAAAAAUAUUUUCUGCUGUUCAAUAAAGAAAAUGUUUUCCUUCAUGUAUUCCUUUUAAAUAAUUUUUUUAUUUUAUCUUUUUAAAUCAAUUUUAAGUUCUUUUUCUUUUCUUUCUCUUUUUUCUUCUUCUUCCUCGGCCCCGAUGACUGGCCACAGGCUAGCUCAAGUCUCACUACAGGUUGACAAAGCUCCUCGCCUAAGGCUAGGAAGCUCUAGCCUCACCAAAUCCAACGAGAUAGGUGAGGCUUGAGCCUUGCUAGCUUGCUGGAUCUAGCAAGGCCCGAGCUCACUUGAGGUUGUCAGGCUCACCUGGGUGAGGAGAGGCUCGUCCUCAUUGGAAUCUAGUGAGCUCGAGCUUUGUCGGCUUGUGGCGAGGCUUGAGCUCGCCUGUAGUUAGUUGCUAGCCGUCAUGGCUUCGACCAGCCACGGUUGGCGACCAGUCAAAGAAGAAAAAAUUAAAAAUUAAAAUGAAUUUUAAAAUGAAUUUUUUAUAAAAGAAAAAUAAAAGGCAAAGGUGUUGAGUGAAAAAAAAAAAAAACUAGGUUUAGAAGUAAAGAGAGAGGAUGGAAAAUGUUUUUCACUUUAGUGAAAAAUAUUUUCCCAUAUUUUAGAAAAAUUUUGUUGGUGGAAAAUGCUUACCAGUUCAUAUUCCGUCAAUCAAAUGUCGAAAAAUCCUAAAAAUAUUUUCAAAAAGGUUAUUUUUUAUGAAACGAUUAAAGUCUUAAUUAGGCCGUUUUAGACCUGACCGGAGUGAAUGGCAAGAUGGGUUGACUUGGACAAACGAAAAUGUUCUCAGACAUUAUUUGACCCAUUUUGGCCCAAGCUUGAUCGAAUUUAUAUGAAAAAAUUUAUACUCUCUGUAUGGAGCAAUUUUAGGCUUGACUUACCCAUUGAUAAAAUCCUCUCAAUUUUCAAAGGUAAUAUUGCUCAUUAUAGAAAAGAAGGGUGCCAAGAUAUGUAAUAUGAGUUUAUUGAUUUUAUCUAAUGUGAAAUAUUUUGAGUCCCAAAAAUCUUUUCUAAUCGGUUUAUUGAGUAAUCAAAUUUUAAGAACUACAAAAUCUAAAAAGUCAAAAUAAAACAUGUCUUAGGUAAUAUUACAGCGCCUACCGAAAUAGAGGAAUGGGAGAACUGUUAACCUAGGAGCUGGAUUUGCUUUCUAGGGAUCACGAAUUUGAUAGCGGGCGGGAGCGAGCGUGGUCAUAAUUGGCGGAACAGAGUCAAGUCGUAUCUCUUUUCACAUGAUAACAACCACCACCCUUUGGAAAAGCCCUAAGGUCAAACCCCUCUUUGUCUUUUUUUUGGAAAAUAUUUAUUUUAUUUUGUUUUAGGUCUACUAUAGAUGAAUUUUAAAAUAUUGCAUUUAAAGGACUUCCUAGAACAUACCAACCUACCUAAAUGGAAAAGUUUUAAAAAUUUACAAGGAAUUAGAAGAAGACUUUUCCAUUUCCUCACAAGCUAUUACUCCGUGCACUAGAUGCAUGUGAGUCCGAUGUUCUAUAAUUGACGAUAGAUCGUGCAUGACCAAACCUAGCAUGACCGUUGAUCACAUAGAUCUCAGUUGAAUCUAUCGAUCCAAAUUUAGGCAAGAAUUUCUCCCCAGUCCAUCUAGAUUAAAAUUGACGCCACAUUGGGCUCACAAGGCAUUUUUAUUUCUAGGAAAAUUUUUUCUAAAUCAUUCACUUUUGGCAAAAUAAAUGCAUCCUUAGACUUUAUUUAUUUUCCAAAAAUUAAAUAAUUCAAAAAAUAUUUUUCUAAUAAUGAUCGUUUUUAUCACUUGAUAUAAUCAUUCAUUAAAAAUAGUUUCAUUAUCGACAUAAUUUAUGUCCGAAGAUUGUUGUGAAUGAUAAAAAUAUUUUUAUUUCAUAUAUUUUUAUAAGUGAUACGGACAAAUAUUUUUUAGAAAAAUAUUUAUUUGGAUUAUUUAUUUUUUGCUAAGUAAAUGGAGUCUCAGCUCUCAAAUUCCCAUGAUUUUGUUGACUUUUUUAUUGUUGUAUUUUUUUUUUGAACAGUUUUUAUUGUUGUAUUGAUCCAACGAAAAUGUGGGCGGGCGAUGGCGAUCGCCACUAUGGGUGGGUGCCCGUGCAUCAACGUCACCGGCGUUCAGUGUGGGACCGGCCAUGGAAUUAGGUUUGCGUAUUUAACUCAACUGAAAAUGGUGCGAGGAUCAAGACAUGGGAGGUUGGUCGGUAUACAUUAAUUUUCACAAACUAAUAACAAAAUUAGGCAAAAUAAAAUAUACUUAUAUCCAAAUUCAUGUUUGCAUUGAUAUAUUUUAUAGUGAAUUCAUCAUCUUUAUUUUAUUGCAUGUAGAGUGGAUCUAGUUAUGUUAGUAGUAUUGAUUUUCAAAAUUGUUACUAUUUCCUACGCUCGUAACCUAAUAAUAAUUGACCAAGACUAUUGUGAUGAUCAAUAGUAUUGUUGUAAGGUGAAAAACUAUGUUUCUAGUUAAUGCUUGCAUGGCUUAUUAGGGAUUUUUUAAAUUGCUAAUGUGUGCUCAUAUGGCUGCAAUCAUAAAUCUAGGUAUAAAAUGCAUUGAAGCAAUAGAACUUGUAAUUCCCGUGGUGUCUCAUUCAAACUGCGAUUGCAGAUAAUGUCAUCGACAGUAAAGGUAAACAAUGUGACGUAUCCAAACGUGAGAGAGACUUCGAGGAUGAGCUAUCGAUUGUGUUGCAUUCCACUAGAGGGGAUGGAUUGCAUGGACAUUGUGACGAAGCACAUCAACCUCGACUCUUCGGAACCCAAGAAGAGGAGCUACACCAAUUGCAAGAAUGUUGUCACUGCUAGUUUCACUUCUGUUGAUCCUCCCAUAUCUUGCCACACUUCAUAUGGUUAAUUGUUGUAGCCGACAACACCCAUGCAAUAAGCUAAUCAAUGUAGUUUUCUUUUCUCGACCAAUGAUCAAGAUAGAUCAUAUCGUUAGUUUAAUCACACUUACAUACACCCGGUAGUCAAGAUAAUUUGUGCAAGUUUUGUCAUUCAUGGGAGGGCCCAAAAAGUGUUAGAAUUGAUGUUCGGAUGAAAUUAUUUUCAUGCCCCUUUUUACUUUAUAUCGCACCCUUUUGAGUCCUUUUUAUAAGUACAUUUGUUUUGUCUACUUUUACUUUUUUGGUGGAAUAGAACCAUAGCAUCAAUAUAAAUGCAAGUACAUAAAGAAAGAUUUCUCCAAGCAAGGUUGUCGGCAAUGCUAUCGUUAUAAAAAUGGAUAGUAUUGACACUUGAAUUUUUUCGGCCGAUGCAUUAAAAUUUUUUUGUUAACUAUGAAAGUUAACAAAGACUCCAGUCAACUCAACUUGACCCGGGAUUCACCCUGCCCAUUAGGCCCGGACUGAUAUGACUUGAUCCAAUCCGGGAAUAAAACCGUGCCUCUCUCUCCUUGGCCAAAUCUCCUAUACCACAUGGACUCACGUUCCCAUUACUCAAUGUUCUCACUAUUCACAAUGGUCGCUUGGGCGUCUAUUUCUUUAGGUCAGGUGACGCAAAAUUGAAAACCCCAGAGAAGACAGAGGCGUCUCUUUCACACUCGAACGACUUCUUGCGUUGACUGUAGGGCAGUUGGAAAUAUGGAGCUGUCUUCGGAUUUAAAGAGGUUUCACGUACGAAAGGAGAAAAGGACAGCACAAGGAAAAUAGGUCUUAUUUUAUUCCAAGAUAUCUUAGAAGGAGAAGGAGAACACGGUUUUCCCUAGGCGGAUAUUCCCUAUCCUUAUCUUGGUCGCUCUCCAUUAGCCAGCAGUAACUACCAGUCCGCCAUUGCCGGCCACUGACGAGCCUCCUCUUUAAAGAAGAACAAAAGCAGAGGGCAUGGACUGAGGAGAAUUGCGGCCUUUUUCGGGCGUCCAGAAGUCGCUCCCUCCAGGAUUCUCUCCGAGCCAUUUCUUUCCUUUUCUUUGCCAAUCCUCGCCGUCGCAGGAUCGCCGUGUCGUCAUUGUUGGUUCAGCAAGCGCAGCGAACCCUGUUUUGCCCCUGUUUUUGGGCUGUCAAGAUCCGAAGCAACUCGUACGUGUUUGAAGCUUCAUGGCCGGCGUGCACUCUCAUCGGCAAUACUUUUCAAACAUGUAAACUUGACCAGCAACCGCAACCCAGAACUCCUCCUUGGUAAGGUAAUGUUGAACCCUCUGCCUUUCCCUGUCAUGAGUGGAACGCCGAGACUCGGUUUCUUCCGUUCAUGCUCGUGUCGGAUCUGAAUAGGUUAGUUGUGUUGAUUUUUGAACAUUUCUGAGAGACUUCUUUCGAGCCUGGAUGGGAGUUCAAGUCUUGAAACGGUUAAGUACUUUUUUUUCCUGAAUCCACGUUCAUAACCUGUGUGAGGAAAUGCUAUAACGUUUCUAUUUUAAGAAUAAUUUUUAUUUAAAAAUAAUUAUUUUAUAUUUCUAUUCUCGAAAAUAAAGAUAUAGGUGUUUUUUACUUCUUUGUCUCAAAUAUAUACUAUUUUUUAUUCCGAAAAAUAAAAUAAAAAAUUAAUUAAUGUUAUCAAAUUUAUUUGUGUUCUGAAGAACAAAAGAACAAAAAAAGAAAAAGAAAAAUAGGAUGUUACCAAAGAUGUCCUAACAAUCCAGUGCAAGUUAGUUUCCUUUUUUGUCUAACUCGAGAGCAUAUUGCCCCGGAUUAAGUCACCUUAAUUGUUUUUCAAAGUCUUUCUAAUGACUGAACGCGUUUUUUUUCUCCAUAAUCCGUUUUUCUUGUGUUCUAUGCUCUCGAGGUCACCAAUGGCGAUUGUUAGUGAGUUGAUGAUGUUGUAUCCGUGGAUGAGUGUUUGACCAUCAUGUGCAUCUAAACCGGUACAAUGUCCCUUUAUCUGCUUUGUCCUAACCAUUUAGUUUAUGUGUGAACGGUGUUGAUGAUAGAAGUGGAUAUUGAUGGAUGACAAGAAGGGAGAGUAAGCCGUAAAUUUGGUGGUGGUUCCGGGGUGAGCAAAGGCGAUGCUUGGUUUAAAGCUUUGGAGGUGUAAGUCAUGGAUGGAACCUUAUUUCUUUUUGAGGUGAUGCUAGCGGUCCGGAGGAUUGCAACAAAAACUUUCUUUUUCCAACACAACCGCGUGGAAAUUGCUAGGUAAAACUCAGCUUUCUCCCCUUCAUGGAAAAUGUAUGGUCGAGGGUUCACCGUUUAUCUUCCUAAAACUUUCUUUCUCCAACAAGUGCGUGAAAGUUGCCAAGCAAACACAGAGUUUUCUCCCUCUGAUGGAAAAUGUUUGGAUGAGGGUUCACCUUCUAUUAUUAGCAAAUCAAUUCCCUCAUUUUGUCGUUUAUUGUAAGGGGUCCCUUCUUUUUGUACUCAUAAAUGCUCAAAGGUAAUUUAUUGUAAAGGAAAUUGAUUGGCCGGUUGUACUGUUAGUUUGGAAAACAGAUGGCGAACCCUCAGCCAUAUAUUUUUCAUGAGAGGGAGAAAAAUUUGUAUUUUGCUUGGCAAUUUUCUCGGGAAAAAAUCGUCAGAUGGUCACAUCAUCAUGCUAGCAUCACCCUAUUGUAAGAGAACACGGGGUGGAGUUCUGGGAAUGGGAAGUGAGAGUGGAAGACGACGAGAACACAAGGAAGAGGAGACUGGGUUUGGUGAAGGUGGGCUUAAGUGAGAUUUUUGGGCUUCAAUUCGUUUGAUAUAUUUGGGCUUAGUUGUUCUAGUUAUGAUUGGGUUGGUAAUUUUCGGGCUUGGGAAUUGGGUUGAUGGAUCCAGGCUUAGAGUGGGCUUGACGCUUCCCUUUAGUAAAAAUGGGCUUGCGUUGUGGUAGGUUACAAUGGGUCUAGUUGAUUUGGGCCUAAUCUGUUUCUAGUAAAAAGGGGCUUGGUUUAUUUCUAGAGGAAAUUGGGCUUUUGAAUUUCUACUGGAGAGAGGCUUAACUAGUAAGCCCUUUUGCCUGCGGUGGCCCGUGUCCAUGUGAAGCCCAUGCCUAAUCCCACACGCGGGUAAUAAUUUUUUUUAAAAAAAAAGGGAAAACAUUCGAAAAAAAAAAAAUCAGAAAACGGCUAGGAAUAAAAUCCUUGAUUAGGUUGUUAAAUCUUAGUGAUAUAUUUAGCUUAGUUUCGGUUGGAUAACAUAACUCUUAAUUUUUCAAGUUUUAGUAGUUACUUUUGAGAUAGCUUUGACUUAGAUCAAUCUUUUAAGUAACAACUUCAACCCAAUUUGAACUUAACUCAUGGGGUUGCUAUCCUAGGCCUUAAUAACAGUGCUGUGUAUUUUGUAAUUGGUGCUUCAUUGAGUAUACUUUUGGAUGCUUUAUCUUUAUUGCAUUGAUUAUGAUUGUCUACUUAUCUUUGAUCGCGCUCAUGCAUGGAUAGCAUUUAUAGGCAUAGGUUAAUUAAAAAUGUUCAAAGAUUACGUGAAUUAUUUAGGUACCAAAAGAGCACUAGUUAGACAAUUAGUGCAAUUAAGUCUUGGUCUUAAAUCUCUGAUUGCAUAAGAAAUAAAGUAUCCUCCAUUUCACUUGACUUCUAGUCGACCUCAUAGACUAGUGGUGACUCCUAUUAUGGAUAGAUCAAUUUCAAUCGUAGUUUCCUAAUGUUGAGCAAGUUAACAGUUUGGGAAAAUCCAUGCUUAUUGAAGACUAUUGGUUCCAAACUCGACAUUACCUCCAAACCUAUCAUCUCCUUGACAUCAAUCGAUAGUGCUAGAAUUAUAAGCUUCUUUUCUUUUUUGGUUUGUGCUAGUAUUUUAGACUUACUUUGUAGAAUUGUUAAAAAGAAUAUUGUCAGGUGAUUGGAUAUUACUUGGUAAACCAUUCUUAUUAGUAAGUUUUAAUAUCUCUAGCCAGCAAUACACUAUAUGCAAUUUGAGUAAUCAGAUAGUGAUGUCUUCUAUUAAUAUGUUAAUAGUCACUUAAGCAAAAAUUGAAAGGACAAUUAAUGUCUAAAACUCAUGAGUACAAUAAACUAAUUAAAAUAAUUGGUGUAAUCCCUAACUUAUAUGGAAAAAGAUAAACAAGGGAAAUGCGCAAAAUGAAAAUUGAGAUGUACUAUAAUAUCAUAUUAUAAAGGAAGCAUGCCAAAUGCACUCCUCAUUUUUUCACCUUUUUGCUCUAUUACAACUUUCUCUCCUUUAUUUUUUUUAAGGGAUAAGUGCACUAGAAUUCUUAAAACCUUUUAAAAAGUGCAAUUAAGUCCUUAAAAACUUAUCAAAUGAUACAAUCAAGUCGUUCUAUUAAUUCCUUCUUAUUGUUUUUAGUCAAAAGCUCCAUCCUACUUGGUUAAUGUAAAAUGUUUAUUGCUAUUUUCUCUCUCCUAUGUAACGUUGACAUUACUAAAACAUAAAACAUGUAGCUAAAAUGACAUUGUUUUUUAUUUCAAACCAAAUUUGAGUUAAAUUAAAUUAAUAAUAAAAAGGCCAUUUUGUUUCUUGAAAAAAGAACACAAAACAAAUCAACCCUUGUCGCUAUCAUCCCACCAUUACUAAAAAUGGCUGGCAAUGGGGGGGGGGGGGUGAUGCCCGAUUGCUCAGGUCUCUAGCUAAUAGUCACUAGUUCCUAGGUCUUUAGUCCUCACCUAAGGUUGAAAGUGUUGCAAGGCACCAUUCUUUUUUUCUUUCUCUCCUUUUUUUAUAAAAAAAUGUAACCUUUUAUUUAAAAUUUGGCUAAAAAAGAAUUAGAUUUAGACCAAAACGAUAUCAUUUUAGUAUUAUGUUUUUUGUUUAGUGAUGUCAACAUCACGUAGUACAGAGAAAAUAGCAAACAAGUCAUGUUACUUCUUCUUUUUUCCAAUAGUCAAGUUGGAUAGAGUUAACAACAAGACUAGAUUACAUUAAUUUAUAAAUCUUCGAACUUAAUUGCACUUUUGAAAAAAUUAAGACUCAAUUGCAUUUUGGUGAUAAAUUUUAAAAUUUCAAGUAUAUUUAUCCCUUUUUUAAAAUACUGUUCUGCUUCUUAUUAAACAAAUUAUCCAAAGAACCAAAUCACUCUCCUGUAAAAAAAAAAAUAUCAACCUAGAUCUAAUAUUACCAACCACAAACUCAUAACAAAUCUCCAAAGCCUAGUCUUCUACACCCACAUACACUUGCACUCGUCGAUCAUGGAUACCUAUCACAGGCACUGCAGCUUUGCUCUCUAGCACAAGCUGCAAGCUCACCGUCUCUCUCUAUCUCUCUCUGUCUCUCUCUCGCAAGGACUGUGAAAGGGCAUGGCGACCUCAUGUCUUAGGGUGGUGAAGGCCAUGGAGACAAAUGACGGUCCAAAGUUGUUGGGGGUGGACAGGAGUUGGGGAAAUCGGAAUUUGUGCUAAGGAAUAAAAAGCGGUUCUGUAAGUCUAGUCUGUCAGCUGAUAUGAGGUAUAUGGUUAGGUAUCCAACGUAAGACUUAUGUUACAAACUCUUAUUUCGAUAUUAAAAACAAAGGAUACAAAGCAUAUUUUCUAAGCUUUGUAGUCAUUACAUCAAAGUGGUCAAUUGCGCAAUGAAGUGAAACAUGUCAUUUUCCAAUGUGCAUGGACGCAUUAUGCUUUGAUUAGGAAAAUAAAAACAGAAUUGUUCUUUUGGGCUUCUGCUUUUGCUACAUCCAUUUAAAUUGAAUUGCCUCGUUAGCUCAGCACUCGUAACUUAAAUUGCAUCACCAUCUCUUGACUCGUGUCACCACCCAACACAAAAAAUUAGGCACUAACAAUGCCUCAUAUGAUGUUACAGGGUCUCUUGUGUCCAAACCAUGUUCUUGCUUCCGAUCCUAGUCUCACUCUUCCUUGGUUCUCAGCGAGCUUAUUCCUCAACUUCCUCUUCAAGUCUUGAGCCUACAAGUUUCUUUUUCCCUUCUUUUGACCUUGGCUCUUGCACCGGUAAAAAGCUCAUUUGCAUGGGCUCAGUAAGCUCGCGAGAUGGGUAUUUGAACAUCACGCCAGAGCAAGGUAAUUCGAGCCUUGCGUCGAUGCCGACAAACCAGGUAGGGCGGGUUCUUUAUUCCCAACCAGUGGCUGCUUGGCCUGCCAUGAUCUCCACCACUUUCACCGUCAGGAUCACCCCACCGCCAAAUUCCACAGUCUCUGGUGACGGGAUGGCUUUCCUUUUCGCACAGGAUAAUAGCCCCUCACCGCCGAACAGUACUGGCUCAUACAUGGGGAUUCUUGAUCGGUCUACUCAAGGUACUUCCACCCAAGAAUAUGAAAUUUGUGGUACUUUGCUGUAGAGUGUUGAUCAAAAAAUGAUUUCUUUUCAACUGAAUAUUUAGGUGGUGUUGUUCAACAACUAGCGGUGGAGUUGGACACUUACAUGAACGAGUUUGAUAGUGACGGGAACCACAUAGGCAUAGACACGACGAGCACUACUAACUCAGUCGUUGCCCAGAGCCUAAACAGCACAGGAGUGAACCUAAGAAGUGGAAGGGACAUCACAGUCGAAAUUGAAUAUGAUGGCUAUAAAAAUGAAAUCCAAAUCUUAAUAGCAUAUUCUGGGAAUUCGCUAACAAGCGUUCUCAAUUAUUCGAUCAAAAUGUCAGAAACGGUCCCUAGGCUCGUGUAUGUGGGCUUUUCGGGAGGCACUGGUCCUCUUCCCGAAAGCCACCAGGUGAUUAAUUGGGCAUUUAGCUCUUUUCCUUUAUCUACAGCAGAAAAGCGGCUCAAGAGAGACAACAGGAUCAAAACUAUAUUGGUUUUGGUCGUGCCAAGUGUGAUGACGGUAUUGUUCAUCAUUAUAUGCGUCUACCUCAUUAAAAGAGCACCGAGGAAGAGAGACAAGAAGGACACCGACAUAGAGAGCCAAUCGAGGGUGGCUGCGAACAUUCCAAAGAUGUUCACCUACAAGGAGUUAGCAAAGGCCACUCGCAACUUCAGCAAGGAGAAUCUGCUCGGGACUGGCGGUUUCGGAAGCGUUUACAAAGGGGUGAUCUUAGAUCCUCCGGUCGAAAUAGCCGUGAAAAAGAUCUCGGCAACCUCGAAACAAGGUGUGUUUCUUAAUUGUAUUAUGUCCUUUUAGUACAUUUUUCUUGAACACGGUUCCCUAGAAAAGAUCUAAACAUUACAAAAACAUAGUGGUGAAGCAAUUUUAGCACAUUUUACUUUCAUUUUUAUUCAUCGCCAAUUGUUGUGAAUAAAGUGGGAGAGAGAUAUUCUAUAUAUUUUCAAUAUAUCUAGAAUAAAGUACUUGGAGUCUAUUUAUAGGCUUGAAUAGACGACAACCUAGGGAAAUCAAAUGGGAUAUGCAUAAUCAUAAUAAUUAAAGAAAAUGUCCUUAAUAUCUCUAGAAGAUACCUAAAUAUCUCUAAUACUCCCCCUUACGUUAGAGCAUAGAUAAUAGUCACAUCUAGCUUAUUAUAAAUAUAUUCUAUCCUCCCAUUACCUAGAGGUAUAGUAAAUAUGUCUAAAAGUUGUUCACCAGUCGUAAUGUGACUUGGAAGGAUCACUCCACUCUAUAGCUUCUCUUUUAUAUAAUGACAAUCGAUCUCAAUGUGUUUUGUUCUCUCAUGAAACAUAGGAUUGGAAGUUAUAUAUGCUGCAACCUUGUUGUCACACCACAGAGGCAUAGAAACUUAAGUUUUAAAGCCUAAUUCAAUCAAUAGCUACUAAAUCUACACUAAUUCAUGUGUCACUUGUGUCAUGACUCUAUAUUCUGAUUUAGCACUUGAGCGGACAAUAGCAUUCUAUUGCUUACUCUUCCAUGAUACCAGAUUUCCUUUAACCAAGGUACAAUAGCUAGUGGUCAAUCUCCUAUUAUCUGGAGACCUUGUCCAAUCAACAUCAGAGAAUCCUAAAACUCUGUUAUGGCCAUGAUUUUGGUAAACAAUUCAUUUCCUCAGAAUCUUCUUCAAGUGCCUCAAAAUCCAAUGAUUGCAUCCCAGUGAAAUGUACAAGGAGAAGACAAAAAUUAGUUUACCACACUAAUUGGAAAUGCAAUGUCUGGUUGAGCAAUUGUGAGAUAAUUUAGCUUGCCUACCGGUUUUUAAUUAUCUCUCAAGAUUAUCAAGAAUCUCUCUUCCCUUAGCAACCAGAUUAUCUCCUUGUUCCAUUGGUGAAUCAAGAGGUGUUGAUCCCAACAUGCCUAUCUUAGUGAGCAAAUUAUGGGCAUGCUCUCACUAUAAUAGAACAAUACCUUUUUGUGACCGUGUCACUUCAAUUUUUAGGAAAUACUUCAACUUGCCCAAGUCCUUAGUCUGAAACUAUUGCUAAGGGUAGAGCUUUAGUUCAACUAUACUAACCAAGUCAUCUCCUGUGACAAUAAUAAUAUCAUCAAUAUAUGCAAUUAAGAAUAACUUGCCUCCCCUUGAUUGUUUAUAAAAGGAGUAAUCAUUUCCAUAUCUAAACAUUCCAAAAGAAUGUUAACUUCAGAAAAUCUUCCAAACCACGCCCGUGGGGACUGCUUCAAAGCUUGCGGCUUUUUUAACUUGUAAACUAGUUUCCCAAAUGUCCCCUAAGCAACAAAUCCCAGAGGUUGCUCCAUAUACAUCUUCUCAUAUUCAAUAAAGCAUUCUCGACAUCAAGCUGAAAUAAUGGCCAGUUAUAUGUGGCUACAAGAGAGAUCAAAAUACCAACAUAUGUGAACUUGGCAAUAGGAGAAAAUGUGUUUAACUAGUCAACCCCACAGAACUGAGCAUACCCUUUCACAACAAUUCUUUCUUUUAAAUGAGCAAGAGAACCAUCGGGAAUGACUUUGAUAGCAUACACCCAUCGACAACCAAUAUCAAUGUUACCUAAAGGAAGAGGUGCCAAGUCUCAAGUUUGAUUAACUUGUAAGGCUUUUAAUUCUUCUACCAUAGCUAAUCUAUAGCCAAAGUCAUGUAAUGCCCCGGCUGCUAGCUUAAGGACAAAAUAUUGUUCAAUAGUAGAUAAAAAGGAUUGAAAGAAAAGAGACACGGAAGAGUAUGAACUAAAGUUUGCAAUAGAAUAUUAAGUACAAGCAUGAUAUCUUUGUGAUGAAGAAUAUGGGUCAGCUAAUGGCAAAUCUAGAGCUAAAGAUGACAUAGUAGUGGUGGGAGGAAGGGAGGAGCAGUAGCUACUUGAGGAUGCCGAGUAUAGACCUUGAGAGAAGUUGGUUCUUGUGUAAAUAUUAGGGAAAUUGGUGGAUCAAUUGAUCAAAUGGUGAUCACAUGUAAGAUUUCAUCCACCUCAAAAAUAGUAAUUGAAACAUCAUGAUAUGCUAUAGAUUCAAAGAAGAAAACGUAGUACGAGAAUAACAUAGAAACGUUAGAAGAAUAACAAUGGUAUCCCUUUUAAGUACGAGAAUAACAUAGAAACGUAUACUUGAUGGCCCUAGGAUCAAAUUUUAAUACUCUAGGUCAAUGACCAUGGAAAAAACAGACACAACAAAAAAUACAGGGUGGUAAAAAAAAUAAUGAUUGAUUGAGAAAAAAAUUAGAAAAUGGAAUACAACAUUGUAAAACAUAAGAAGGAAUGUGAUUAAUUAGAUAGUAUGCAAUCGGGGCAACAUAAAAAAAGAAAAAGAAAAAAGGUUUUACAAAUCAUCAUCUCAAAUAACAUGGACCUAGUGACUUCCAAUAAUGCCUAUUCUUUCUUUCAGUUACAUCAUUUUUUUGUGGUGUAUCGUAACAGGAAGAUUCACGGAUCAUACAAGGUUGAGUCAUAAAGUCAAAAAAGAUGCGAAAAAGUACUCUUAGCAUUAUCAAAACAAAAAAAUUUAACAUGUAUACCAAACUGAUUAUGAAUUUCGGAAUUAAAAGCACAAAAUAUAUAAAACAAUUCUAAAUGACUUUCCAUUAGAUGUAGCCAAGUGACUUUGGAAUAGUCAUCAACAAAAGUAACAAAGUAUCUAAAAUCUACCAAAUAUCUAAAUGAACUAACGAAAAAGGAGGCAUUACUAGCUUAAUGACUCAUGGCAAGUAACUAACACGAUGCAAUUUGCCAAGUUGACAUAACUCACACUCUAAACUAGAAAGAGAUUGCAAACUAGAAUCUAAAUUUUGUAGAUUGUGCAACCAAGGAUGGCCAAGACAACAAUGGAUUUGAUGUAAGGAAGCAACACUAGAACAUGAAAUAGAUGAAUCAUUUUCAAGCACAUACAACCCCCCACCUCAUGUCCUCUACCAAUCAUCAUCUUUGUAGCCAAAUCUUGAAAAAUACAAGAAUCAAUGUAGAGUGUCACUGAACACUGAAAGUUUUUGGUUAAUAUUCUAAUAGCCAUAAGUUUAAACAGAAAUUGUGGGAGAUAAAGCAUUGAGGAUAAUGUCAAUGAAGAAGUUGGAUGAAUUCCAUCAAGCCCCUUAACUUGUGUAGAUGAAUCAUUAGCUAGGGUUACAAUGGAUGAUGAUGGAGUAAGAGACAAAAAAAAAUAAAAUGAAAGACCUAACAAGGGACAAGAUAUAGCUAAAAGGCAUGUGGUAGUAUUACCUGUUCGUACAAGAGUAGCAGUGAAAGAAUUAGGCUGUGUUGAAACUAGUUGUAUCGAGCAAAUUCCUUAUUAGACAUAGCCAUCGCGUUGCCUUUUGAAAACUAUGGCAAAGAAGAAGAGUCGGUACUAGAUGCAACAUUUGCAAAAUGUAGUUGCUACCUUAGUCUCCCAUGUAACUUGUAACAAGAUUUUUGAAUGCGACUAGUUUUGCCACAUUAAUGACAAGUCCAAAUGGCCCUUGAGCUAUUAGUGGAAUUGUGGGACUGUCCAUAAAGCUCUUCUUGGCCUUAGCUGCUUCUUGUUCCUACGCCUUAGCCAACACCAUGGCCACCACAAGCGUUAUGUCCUCUACGUGUUCCUUUAUCACUCCCACUACCGCCACUGAUUCAAGACUAGGACACGAGAGCUAUCUACCAUAGACAUAGUGUCCUCAGAAGACUCAUGAGAUACCCAAAGAACUCAAGCAAAGGUAUUUGUGAGUGAUGCAAUAGUCUCUCUCUCCUAAGAAUUUGGAAACUCAUAGUUUCUAGUUUGGACCGAAACCUCCUUAAAUCCCAGUACAACCAACUAUUCUCUCUGAAGUUGCUUUUUCUCAGCAGUGGUUGAAAUAGGGAGAAGAUGAUUUAACUCCUCAUACAUCUUCUUAAAGUUAGCAAAGUACUGUGUAACGGAACACCCCUUCUUAUUAGAUCGGUAAAACUACUGGAAUAGCUAAUAAAUUCGUGAAAGGUUAUUUUGGCCAGAAUGCAAUAUAGCCAAAUGCUGCCAUAAUUAUUUAAUUGUGUCAACAUGAGUUACGAGAUCAACUAUAUUACUCUUCAUAGAAUUCAGCAUCUGACCAAGAAUACGUGAAUCAAUUGCAUUUUAAGUUGCAUCAAUACUAAGUUUAGGCUUAGUCAAGUGUGUAAGUUGAUUAUGUCUAUCGAAGUUAGCUUCACAAUUUUCUUUUAUUGUUGAAAGUUGGCACUAUCCUCAAGCUUCUUAUUGAUAAUUCGAUUAGAAGAAGAGGAAAUCAACUUGGUCAUCAUAGUAUUACUCUUCUCAAAAUCACCCAUUGUUUAAUAAGAAUAAGAAAAUUACCACAAUAUUUUCCUUCAAGCAACUCAACUUCAAUAAAUCAACACAACUGAGAAAUAUCAUCAAUGGACCGUCAACAAUGUUGUCACAACACUGACAACCAAUUGAACAAACAAUCCAGACAUAGGUAUAGAGUACCUGUAGCCUUCGAAGGUUCUUUAGGUAGAAAGUUCAUACAGCGAUGGUCAUUCCAACUGACCGAUCAUAGGAACAAGGGCAACAAAGACCAAAUUAGAUAACCCUCCUAGAUUUCGUAUAAAUCUCAAAGAGUCUUGCAAAGUCAAUUUUCGCAAUCCAAUUUCCUUGAAUUUACCCUUGAGAUUCCAAACAUCCCUACCUCUAGAGACCACACCAAUUAACUUCACCAAACUGUGCAAUAGCUCACCACCCACUCACCUAGUGCAUUGCAUAAUGAAACAUCUCAAUUAGUGCAAGCUAAAACUACUAGAACAUUCCAAUCUAAUCCAAUAUAGCUCGACCAUCGGACAUAAGGCCUGAUCUAGGCGGUCUUGGAAGACUUCGAAAAAAUAGCAAAUAGAGGGAAGCACCAAAUUGACCUUAGCGAAAAGUAUGAGUUAAGCCCAAGAACCUAUGCUCUAGUGGUGAAAAGCCGAAGAGAGGGAACAUGUGACAUUUGACGGCGCCAAAUUUGACCUAGGUUAGAUGGCGACGCUCGGCGACACUAGAUCUAGGCUAGCUACUUUUUUAUUUAUUUAUUUAUAAGAAUUUCUACAAUGGGUGGCAACUCUAAUUCUAGCGAAUAAAGUGGGAGAGAGAAAUUAUGUUUAAUUUUCAAAGUAUCUAGAAAAGAGUACAUGGAGUUUAUACAUGGGCUUGAAUAGAUGGCAAUCUAAUGGAAUUAAAUCGGAGAUGCAUAAUCAAAAUAAUUAAAGGAAAAAUCUUAAAUAUCUUUAGAAGAUACCUAAAUAUCUCCAACAGUUGCCACAAUUGUGAAGAUUCUCUAUGAAAAAGUUCUCUAGUAUUUGUUAAUGAACUUCAGGCAAUUUUUCAACCUCAAAUUCAACAGGUGAAAGACAAUAUUUGGCAGAGAUAUGCACAAUUGGGAGGAUGAGGCACAAGAACAUAGUGCAACUCCAAGGUUGGUGCCAUGAGGGGGAACAACUUCUAUUAGUCUACCAAUACAUGGCCAACGGUAGCCUUGACCGCUUUAUCGGCAAGUUGUCCCUCAAUUGGGAGACUCGAUAUGAGAUUUUGACUGGCAUAGCCUCAGCGCUACUCUACCUCCAUGAAGAAUGUGGGAACCCUGUGGUCCAUCGGGACAUCAAGCCCAAUAACGUCAUGCUAGACGCCAACUACAAUGCCUACUUGGGUGACUUUGGGCUUGCGAAGCUGAUCCAAAGCGACGCCUCAUCGACAACUAUGCUUGCAGGCACCCCUGGGUACCUAGCCCCGGAGGUGGCAUACUUAGGGAAGGCCACACCGGAGUCGGAUGUGUACAGCUUUGGGACGGUGGUCUUGGAGGUGGUGUGCGGGAAGAGGUCAAAGGGGAUCACAGAAGAGAUCAACUUGGUGGAUUAUGUGUGGAGUCUUUACGGAGAAGACUCGCUCCUGGAGUGUGUAGAUGAGCAAAUGGAAGGCCAAUUUGACGAGGAGCAAGUGGAGAGGGCACUGAUAGUGGGCCUUGCUUGCCUGCACCCGUACUCUGCAUGCAGGCCGAGGAUGCGAAAGGUGGUCCAGAUUUUCCUAAACCCGGAUGAGCCACUGAUGGAGUUGCCCAAGUCCCGGCCUAGCAUGGCAUUUGUGCCAGUCUCAUUCUCGGGCUUGACCACCGUUGGCUACUCCUCCACCUCUAGGACCAAGUCUGCCUUCGCUCGCUCACCACUCAGUUCACCACAGGAGAUAGAACUCAAUCAUGAACAGGGGAUGCCGGGGUUGCGUUAAUGGUCUUGACAACUAAAGAUCGUAUCAGAAAAUUUCAAGUGAGAGUCAUACAUGAAUAAGUUUUACUAUGUAUUAUGCUACAAUGUAGUGCAGAAUGGAUACACUUUGAAGCUAGGUGUGUUGUAUUUACAUUCCUCUAUGAAUAUUAUGUUCUUAUGUGAAAUUAAGUUGGAGUCGUUCAAGUCACGCCGCCUCAUUGCAGGAGUUACAUGGAGCAUGCGAAGAAAAAGACCCACUUAAAUCAGGAACGAUUUACAUAUGUCAAUUCAUAUAUUUAUGAAUUUCAAGGCUCAUGGCUCAAUUCACCACCAGAGAUAGAACUCGAUCAUGAACAGGGGAUGUCGGGGUUGCGUUAAUGGUCUCGAGAAUUAACAUUGGAUCAGAAAAUUUCACUCGAUUCAUAUAUGAGUCAUAUAGGAAUGAGUCUUACUCUGUAUUAUGCUAUGAUGUAGUGCAAAAUGGAUACUCUUUGAAGUUAGCUAUACUGUAUUUACAUUCCUCUAUGAAUAUUACAUUCUCACGUGAAAUCGAGUUGGAGUGGGUUGAAGUCAUAUCGCCUCAUUGUAGGAGUUACAUGGAGCAUACGAAGGAAGACCCACUUAAAUCAGGAACAAUUUACAUAUGUCAAUUCCUUUUUUUCUUAAUGAAUUUCAAGACUCAUGGCUCAGUUCACCACCAGAGACAUAACUUGAUCAUGAACAGGGGAUGUCGCAGUUGCAUUAACGGUCUUGAGAAUUAAAUAUUGUAUUGGAAAAUUUCACGCAAUUCAUAUCUAAGUCAAACAGGAAUGAAUUUUACUUUAUAUUAUGCUACGAUGUGGUGUAGAAUGGAUACUCUUUGAUGCUAGCUAUGCUGUAUUUACAUUCCUUUGUGAAUACUACGUUCUUAUGUGAAAUCGAGUUGGAGUGGUUCAAGUAAUGCCGCCUCAUUGCAAGAGUUACAUGGAACAUACGAAGAAGAAGACCCACUUAAAUCAGGAUCGAUGUACAAAGGUCGACUCAUAUAUUUACGACUUUCAAGCCUCAAAUUAAUCCAAUGAAAGAAAAAUAAUGUGUAAAAUGAAAGAGAAUUGUUUCAUUUGCUCACGACUCAAUACACCAUGGGAGAUGGAACUCGAUCAUGAACGAGGAUGCCAGGUUUGCGUUAAUGGUCUCAAGAAUUAUAGAUCGUAUUGGGAAAUUCCACACGGUUCACAUUUGAGUCAUAUAGAAAUGAGUUUUGCUCUCUAUUAUGCUACGAUGUGAUGCAACAUGGACUCUCUGAAGCUGGCUGUGCUGGAUUUACAUUCCUAUGUGAAUAUUACGUUUGUAAGUGAAAUCGAGUUGGAGUGGUUCAAGUCAUACCACCUCAUUGUAGGAGUUACAAGCAUAAGAAAAGGAAGACCUACUUAAAUCAGGAAUGAUUUACGUAUGUCAAUUCAUAUAUUUAUGAAUUUUAAGGCUCAUAUUAAUCCAAUGAAAGAAAAAUAACGUGUAAAAUGAAUGAGAAGCGUUCUGGCGAAAAAAAAAAAGGCAUACCGACGUGCGUCUGUUGGGAGUCGAACCCGCGUCUGUUGGGAGUCGAACACACGUCUAUUGCUUGGAAGGCAAUUAUCCAAACCGUUGGACUACAAUUGCCAACACAAAUGCUUUUGUACUAUAUAAUUUUAUAAAGAUUCUAUCUGUCUCUAUCCUUUUACAUUAAGGCUGCACGACUAACGAACCAUUGGGCCGAUUGGGCUCGAGCAUCGCGGUUGAGAUAAAAGGAGCAGCAGACAUCUAACGAAUGCAAGUGAGCAUUUAAGGCCACACCUGUGCCGACUGACACAUCACAUAAAUGAAUUGGUCUGUCUUCGCCCAAUCUAGAACGAGUUGAAAAGCCGAGAUUCUCAGGUCAGCCUUGGAUACUCCACACUGGAUUGCCAGGUGACAAGCGGCGAGCACUCCUUUUGCGACUGCAUAAGUAGUUCUCCGACUCUACAUUUGAAUCAGGCAUUGGUGGUCUUAUUCAGUGGACGGGCCUCGGCUCACGCCUAACCCUGUUGCGGAGUGCGGGUUUUGACUCCAAAGAUCAAAUGGAGCACGCUAAUCCUGAAUUAUAUCAUGAACUUUAUGCAUCACCGACGUUCAGGAGAAGGAUCGCCGUAUAGUAGUUGGCGAGACUCCUGUGAUCUUGUUGGUGGUACAGCCAAGUUCAGGCCCAUUAUAAAGUGACUCAAACCGAUGUACAUGACAAAAAUCUUCCGUUCGUGCUGCAGUUCACUCUCACUCUGUGGAAAAGCUUAUACAUGCACUCUCCGAAAACGAUCGGGAUGACGUAAGAUGAGUUGAAUCACAGUGAGAUCCUAUACAAAGUCGUCGAUCAAGCUAAGGAUAUCUGGGAUACUGAGUAGCAAUGCAUGCUACUCCAGGGAUCAAGCUCAAGAUUACAAAAAUAAAACCCUUGUUGUCUGGGUUUGCACUCUCAGGAAGAUGGCCUUUGAUCUGUUUCAACGCUCCCGAGAGCUUGAUGGUUGAGAAUGGUUUCUACAUAGGGAGUAGCUGGUGAGUCAUUCUCUCAUCUGAUAUGGGAUUAGCCUGUUAUCAGAAUAGAUCUCGAUCGAGGAUUUAAAGCUUUAACCCCUCAUUCUACACUUCAAGUAAUUCCAUGGAAGCCAUGAGAGUCCUCCUCUCUUUCUGAGCAAGUGCAGAGGCACAGUGGAAGCUAAAAGCUGAUAGUUAAGAAUAAUAAUACGGCAAAAAGGAAUAUGGAAAUUUAUGCAUACUUCGAUGUGUAUUAAUGAAGACUAUAUUGGUCUAUAUUAGAUGAUUAUUCUAAAAUAGUAUCUCAAUCGAGAUGUGCAUAAUCAAAGAGAUAUAUGCAAUCUUGAGAUAUAAGGAUAACUAACAUAGAAUAUUAUUAUAAAAAAAUCCCUAAUUAUCUCUAACAACCCACUCGAUUCUAAGCGAUUGAGACAUGGCAAAUGAGGCGGCAUCCAACCAUCGUUCAUGGCGAAACUUCCUGAUCUAGCUAGUUUGAGGGCAGUAAGUUUGGUGGUGUUUUUGGCUUCUUGACACACAAAAGGUAAGAAUUGGAGGGGAAACAACAAGUGACCGAUAUAGUUAACAAUAACUGAGCGAUGUAGCCUAUACAGCUGGCAUCAUAACGUCAAGUAGCCUAUAUAGCAGGAUUGAGAAAAUAGUUAUUGAGUGAUGCGACCUAUGCAGGUAUAUUGAAAGAAAAAUCACUUCUAUGAAAAACGAUCAGUUAGGCAACACAACCAAUGCGAUUCGAGUCAAAACACAACAAUCAUGAAAUGCACUCAAUUAGAUGUUUUGUUAGAUGAGACUUGUGCAUAUAGAGUGAAACUUGUUGAGCGGUAGGGAUGGAUUUAUUUGGGUUGUAACUAAGGUUCUCAAGGUGCACACCAUGCAUUUAAGGUUUCCUUAAUAUUAGUACUCUGGUACCAAGUCAAGAAUAGUAAAGCGAAAAAGAGGAAUGAAAAAAUUUCUAUGUACUUCAAUAUAUGUUAAUAAAGAAUAUAUUGAUCUAUUUAUAAGUUUUAUUAGAUAUGCACAAUCAAAGGGAGAUAUACAUGCAAUAUACAUGCAGUCUUGAGAGAUACAAAUAAUCAAUAAAAACAUCAUAAUUAUCUCUAACAUAUAAAAUUAUCUUGGAAAAAUCCCUAAAUCUUUCCAAUGCUGUCAUCAUUUUUAGCUGUAGGAGGAUAUUGAAAUAUAUUGGAAAUGCAGUUGUGAUAUGUUUUUAUUUAGGCAGUUGUGAUAUGUUUUUAUUUAUGGCUUUUAUUUAGGCCAUUUACUUAGGAAGUUUUGUGUACAUAUCUUUUUUAUUGUGUUGUCCUUGUAUUUUUGGUAGUUUAGCCUAAUUAGGAUAUUGUUUGAUAGCUGUAUCUUCUUGUAUAUAUGUUGCGUUUCUGUGGUAAUGAACGACAGAAUUCUCAUUCCAAAAUUCCUUAGUUCUUUUACAUGAUAUCAGAGCCAUGGCUGAUGGAAAAAAAAAAGGUGAGGAGAGUUCUGGAAUAGACAAGAAAACCUCUAGCCCUUACACAUUGAAUUCGAAUGACAACCCGGGUAACUUGAUUACCCAAGUUUAGUUUAAGGGCGAGAAUUAUGAAGAAUGGGCGCGAGCUAUGCGGACUGCAUUAUGAGCCAAGAAGAAAUAUGGUUUUAUUGAUGGAUAUGUCAAGCAACCAGCAGAUGAUUCGCUGGAACUUGAAGAUUGGUGGACGGUUAAUUCCAUGUUGGUUUCUUGGGUGUUUAAUACCAUUGAACCGACACUUCGUUCGACUAUCUCUCACUUGGAGAACGUGAAAGAUUUGUGGGAGGAUAUCAAACAGAGAUUCUCAAUUGGGAAUGGUCCAUGGAUGUAGCAACUAAGAUCGAAUUUGGCCAAUUGUAGGCAGGAUGGUCAACCCAUCGUGUCCUAUUUCGGUAAACUCAAAAUCUUGUGGGAUGAAAUAAAUAACUAUGAUCGGAUACAAGUAUGUGUUUGUACAGGUUGCAGAUGCAAUAAAACCAUUGAAUUGGAAAGAAAGCGUGAAGAAGAGAGAGUUCAUCAAUUUUUGAUGGGCUUAGAUGAAGAAAGAUAUGGAACAGUGCGCGCUAAUAUUUUGAGCACUGAACCUUUGCCUAAUCUAAAUCGUGUCUAUGCUAUUGUUGUUCAGCAAGAGCGAGUGCACACUAUGACACGCACUAAGGAUGAAAGAGGCAAUCCCAUGAGUUUUGCAAUCUGAGCAGGUGGUCAAAAUUCAAUGGGGGAUAAAGAUAAAAUCCCGUUUUGUUCUAAUUGCAACCGAGAGGGACAUGAUGCUGAAAGUUGUUUCCAGCUAAUAGGAUAUGCAUAAUGGUGGGGUAAUAGACCACGUGGAACCUCUGCUGGACAAGGUAGUGGUCAAAAGUGUAGUAAUAAAGGUGGACGUAACAAGGGAGGUGGUGCUCGUGCCAACGUCUCACAGGUAACUAGAGUUGAUGGUGGGCGAGGAGUUGUGACGGAUUCAGUUCGAAAGGGUCUUAGUGGAUUGAAUGAUGAGCAGUGGGCAACUUUAUUGGGAAUGUUAAGUUCUCAUCAAAAUGGUGCGCAUGAGAGGCUGAUAGGUAAACAGAGUAUUUUUCCUUGGAUUAUUGACACAGGAACUUCCCACCAUAUGACAAGAAUGUUGGCAUUUUUUAGAGAAUUGCGUGACAUUGUGCCAUGCUUAGUCGAGUUACCUGAUGGAUAAAAAACCAUGGCAAUGAAAGAAGGAACUGUGUUUCUUGGAGGAGACGAGUUCUUUUUGUGCCCAAUUUGAAAUGCAAUCUGAUCUCUGUAUCACAACUACAUAAUGAUUCAAAUUUGGUUAUUCAACUCACUAACAAAAUAUGUGCUAUACAAGACCUAAAUUCGAGGAACCUGAUUGGAGCGGGUGAGCAACGCAAGGGGCUUUACUUUCUCAAGGGAGUGACUUCAGUACAUGCUUGCACGGUGGCUGAUAAGGAAUCCUUUGAGCUUUGGCAUAAAAGAAUGGGUCAUCCUUCUUCUAAGGUGGUGGAGUUAAUUCCAAAAGCUGACAAAAUGGUUAGGAAAACCAAUAAAACUUGUGAGGUUCAAACAAGAGAGAUCUUCUUUUCUAGUGACAAUAAAGCUAAAGAUUGUUUUGAAUUAAUACAUUGUAAUUUGUGGGGACCUUAUAGAGUGCCAACUUCAUGUGGAGCAAUUUAUUUCUUGAAAAUUGUUGAUGAUUACUCUCGUGCUGUGUGGAUAUAUUUGCUUAAUGGAAAAAAUGAAGUGGCUUAUGUUCUUAGGAAGUUUAUUGCGAUGGUUAGAUGCCAAUUUGAGAAAAAUGUGAAAAUUAUUAGAAGUGAUAACUGAAGUGAAUUUUUGUGUUUGAAAGAAUAUUUUGAUGAACAUGGGAUAUUGCAUCAGACUUCUUGUGUUGGAACACCUCAACAAAAUGGCCGAGUGGAAAGAAAGCAUUGCCAUAUUCUUAAUGUUGCAAGAGCUUUGCGUUUCCAAGCAAAUUUACCCAUAGAAUUUUGGGGAGAAUGUUUACUCACAGCUGGGUAUUUGAUUAACAGGACUCCAUCUAUAUUAUUGAAUGGUAAAACCCCAUAUGAGAUUAUUUUUGGCCAACCUCCUUCUUACAAACAUAUUCGGAUUUUUGGUUGUUUGUGCUAUGCGCAUAAUCAGAAUCGGGAUAAAGAUAAAUUUGCUAGUAGAAGUCGUCGAUGUGUUUUUGUUGGUUAUCUGUUGGGAAAGAAGGGGUGGAGAUUGUAUGAUUUAGAAGCUGGUGAAUACUUUGUAUCAAGAGAUGUAGUGUUUGCUGAAACAUAAUUUCCAUAUGCUGAUGAGAAAACAGUAAGUGAUGAACUCAUUAAAAAUAGAGUUAUGGAGUUGGGUGAUGAAGUUGAUGAUUUAAAAAGUGACUUGAGAGAGGAGCAUGUUGAAAGUGUAGAUAGAGAAAAUGAGGUGAAUCAUGAAAUUGAGGAAUCGAUCCACACAAACAAUGAGGAUGUGGAAAGAAGUGAAGUUGUUGAAGCGCAACUAGGUAGGGGACAAAGGGUCAAGCAACCGUCUAUUCGUUUGAAAGAUUAUGUGACAAACGCCAUCAAAAUAAGCCCAUCGACAUGCUCAUCUGCCCAAUCUGAUUCCUUAGGUAUUCCUUAUUCUAUAGUACGUUAUGUGAGUUAUAAAAAAAAUUUCUGCGCAACACCGGUGUUUCUUGGCAGCAAUUACUAUAGGACAUGAACCAAACUCUUAUGCGGAAGCAAUUAAAGAUGAACGGUGGAGAGAGGCCAUGAGUAAAGAAAUACAGGCUUUAAAAGACAAUGGCACAUGGACAGUCGAAAAUUUGCCGCCUAGGAAGAAAGCAAUUGGGAGCAAGUCGGUGUAUAAAUUUAAGUAUAAUUCUGAUGGAAGCAUUGAACGAUACAAGGCGCGGUUGAUGAUACUAGGAAAUAAACAAGUUGAAGGCAUAGAUUAUUAGGAGACUUUUGCUCCUACGGCAAGAAAUGUGCACUGUACGCACAUUUCUUGCCGUUGCGGCUGCAAAGAAUUGGGAACUUCAUCAGAUGGACGUUCAAAAUGCUUUCUUACAUGGCAAUUUAGAGGAAGAGGUUUACAUGAAGAUGCCACCUGGAUUUGCCUCUCAAUCGUCAAGGAAGGUAUGUAGAUUUCAGAAAUCUCUAUACAGUUUGCGGCAAGCACCUAGAUGUUGGUUUGUGAAAUUGGCAACAUCUUUGAAAGCUUAUGGAUUUUGAAAGCUUAUGGAUUUCAGCAAUCAUAUUUAGAUUACUCCUUGUUCACUUUUCGAGUUGGGAUUGCUCAAUUGAAUGUGCUUAUUUAUGUUGAUGAUCUCAUUAUCUCCAGUAAUGAUAUUUCCGCUGUGCAAAAGUUCAAGAACUAUUUAAGUCGUUGUUUUCAUAUGAAAGACUUGGGGAAGCUGAAAUUUUUCUUGGGGAUUGAAGUGGUGAGAAACUCAUAUGGUAUUUUCUUGUGUCAACAUAAGUAUGAGUUGGAUAUGAUAUAUGAGGUCGGAUUGCUGGGUUCCAAGCCGGCUAAAACUCCUCUUGAACAAAAUCACAAGUUGGCCCUUACUGAGAGUGAUGAUGUAGACAACCCUACUCAGUAUAGGCGCCUAGUGGGUCGGCUUAUUUAUCUAACAAUAACUCGACUUGAAUUGUCUUACUGUGUACAUAUUCUUGCAUAAUUCAUGCAUCAGCCAAAGAAAGCUCAUUGGGAGGCAGCUGUGAGAGUUAUGUGUUAUUUGAAAGGAAAUCCAGGUCAAGGUAUUAUGUUGCGUGCCAAUUGUGACCUCAAAUUGUCUGCUUACUGCGAUUCUGACUAGGCUAGUUGUCCUUUGACAAGACGAUCUUUAACCGGUAACUUUGUUCUUUUGGGAGAAUCACCUAUCUCAUGGAAGACUAAGAAGCAACAAACAGUGUCUCGCUCAUCCGCUGAAGCUAAAUACAGGUCUAUGAAUACUAUAGUUUGUGAACUUAAGUGGUUGAAAGGAUUAUUGGAUUUUCUUGGUGUGGAACAUUCUCAACCUAUGCAGCUGUAUUCCAACAGUCGGGCAGCUUUACAUAUAGCUGCCAAUCCUAUUUCUCAUGAGUGUACCAAGCAUAUUGAAGUGGAUUGUCAUUUUAUUCGUAAUGAGAUACUUAAUGGUAACAUUCAAACAUAUUACAUAGGUAGUUCAAUGCAGCUAGCUAAUAUCUUCACGAAGGCGUUGGGAAAGGAUCAAUUUAACUUUCUUCACAAGUUGGGCAUUCGGGAUCUCCAUGCUCCAACUUGAGGGGGGUAUUGAAAUAUAUUGGAAAGGCGAUUGUGAUAUGUUUUUAUUUAGGCCGUUUACUUGGGAAGUUUUGUGUACAUAUCUUUUUUAUUGUGUUGUCCUUGUAUUUUUGGUAGUUUGGCCUAAUUAGGAGAUUGUUUGAUGGCUGUAUCUUCUUGUAUAGAUGUUGCAUUUUUGUGGUAAUGAACGACAAAAUUCUCAUUCCAAAAUUCCUCAAUUCUUUUACAGAGGAAGAGGGUCAAUGGUGGUUUCUAUGGAAACCAUGUGAGUCUUCUCUUUCUGAGUAAAUGCAUGAGCGACUAUGGAAGCUAAAAGCUAAGGGGAUGCAUGACAAUUACCUAUUUUUGUUCCAAAAACAAUUUUUUUUAUUCCAGACUUAUUUCUGGAAUAGAAAUCCGUUUGAUAAACUUAUUCCGUUUUUCUAUUUCUAGAAUAGAUUUCUAUUUCAGAAAUAGGUUUGAUAUAGAAAUCAGAAAUAAAAAUUUUCUACUUCUCUAUUUCCGGAACAGAAAUAAGAAAUAAAAUAAAAAAAAUUCAUUGUUCGUCAACCGGUCCUUCAUUCGUUGCCGCUAAUCACCGUUCGUUGGUCGCCGCCGCCGCCCCUGAUAGCCGCCGCCACCGGCGGUCCGCCGCCGUCCAAAAGGAAGAAAAUUUGUGUCGUUAUCAAACGAAUUUCUAUUUUUAGAGUAUAAAUUUUGUGUCGUUAUCAAACGGUUAUUUUUUCUUAGAAACUCUUCUAGAAAUAGAAAUAGAAAAAUCUAUUUCUAUUCUAUAAACUAUUUCUGGAACAUGAAUUGUUGUCAUGCACGCCCUAAUUAGCUAACAUCUUUUUCACCUGUGAGAGGAAGAGUGUCGAUGUAGGUACCGUGCGACUCGUUGCCCACAGAUCCGUCCGCUUAGUCCCCCAAUGAACGGGUCGCUGGCUGUCCCCCACCGAUCUCAAUCCGCGGUGGGCGUUUCUUCUUGCUGUCUUCCACGAGCGCAUCAUGUGGAAAGGUUAUCUGAAACUGCAAGUUCGAGGAAGAAGGGAGGGGACAACGGAAGAGCCUGAUUCCACUGCUCUGUCUUUGUUUAAUUUCCCGAGCUGAUGCAGAAAAACUGGACAAACCCUCCUCAGGCUCACACGAGUCUACGCAUUUAGCAUCGCCCCUUAAAAGUUUUGCUGGUGGAGGCUUUUGUUUCAAGAUGAAACCUCAUGUUGUAAUCUAGUCAGGUUUUAUAUAUCGCAUGAAAUAGAAAAACUGUUCCUUCUUUAGGGAAAUAAUAGUCGGUCUGCACUCUUGAUUAUGUAAAUAGAUCCGACAAUCAGGGACAAUACAUUGCACUAUCAGUGUCAGCACAGUUGUAGGAUUUGUGAGGAAAUCUGGUUCGAGAAUUUAAAGUUACCUAUGUUGACCCAACCAAUUAUAUGUGACCUGCUCUAAAUCACGAUGUGACUUGACCAGUUCAAGGAGUUUGUGAAGUAUAGUCGGGUCUCUACCCUUGUGCCCCCGUGUAUUAACAAAAAAACUUAAGGAUAUGCUUGUUUUGAUGGAAAUUAACCAGCAAAUAACUUUCCCUCAUUUUCUUGCCAUUUGGCACCUCAUAAACAUUGGUUAAAAAAAUUCUUGGCAACAAAUGAAAAAUUGUAUUAGAGUUUGAGGAAUUGGCUCAUGUUUCUAUCGACUGAACAACAUUGAAUAACAAACUACAUUGACAAUACUGGAAGAUACACUGCAAUCCUUAUACUUGAUUGACAGACAAUUCCAACCAACAAAGGAACAUGAACUUGGUUUAUUGAUUCACUACAAAGUAUGACUACAGUUUGUCAAUAACAUGAAACUAUUGACAUCUAAAUUAUCAAACCAUUUAAGUAUUAAUUGCAUAAAAAAUUAGAGAUUAUUCCUAGCCUCAAAACAAUUUUUUUAAUUAAAUUGUAUAUGAUUAUUAGGAGCAUUUGUAUUAGUAGAAAUUUGAUAAGUCCAUAUAGUUUGCAUUUAAAUUGGAUCAACUGUGGAUAAACUUAAUUAAAUCACAUAGUCUAAGCCCAUGACAAAAUAGAGAGAACGAAGAGAAUAGUUUAUAGCCAAAUCCCCUCUCGGGCACGCUCUCCUUGCUGCACCACCAUUGCACGCCAGACACUAUACCAUUUUCUCCCAACCAUGCUGCAAUCUCCUUCAAAGAAGCAACAGCCUCAAGACCAGCCUUAUUAUUGCCAGUUGGAAAAUAUGUUUUUGAAUUGGAUAGAAUAAUCAAGUCAGACUUCAAGCUGUGAUAUCACUUUCUUUAAAAAUUUCUUUACCCCAUAAUUUGGCUUAUGGUUACAGCAAAUUUUUUCCAAAAUACAACAAAGUCUCGAUUAAGAAUACUAGAUAGCAAUUCUAGUUUUUCUCCAUGAUCUCUUUAGGAAACAAUUAAAAUGAUGAUUGUAGUUUAGAAAAGAUGACUCGAAACUGACUCGAUUCUCACUCAUACCAAAAAGUGGCAUAUGUAUGGUCUUAAAUAACAUAUGCAACUCUUCGAGAAAUAUUGCAAAGUGAACAAAGGCAACUAUUCAGGAAAGAUCGUAAAGUGAACAAAUCCAACCCUCGGAAAAUGUUUCAAACUGAACAAGUAUAAUUUCAAAGGUUACCUUGAAAAUACACAUAUAAAAUUCAAAAUAAAAUAAUUAAAAAUAAUAAUUUUUUUUAAUAAAAUAAAAUUUUGAAUUUCGUAAUUUCUAAAAACAUUGAAUGAACAAAUACAAUCUUUCCACUAAUAAAGGUUAACAAGAUAAUCAUACGAAAUAAAAAUAAAAAUAAAGAGGUUAAUGCUAAUUAAAUGGCGGGAGCGCAAGCGUGCCAAGUGCAUAAUACAUCUAAUAAUUGCACACCCGCAUGCUUGUAGGUUCAAUCCACACCCCAACCUUGUUCUUUGAACACAUUAGAAAAGGCUCUAACCCAUUUCCUCUCAACUUUCAUACGUGGGACAAUGAAAAAUACAUUUUGUUUGUUUUACAAACAAACAAACAAUACUACCUAGCCAAGACGCAACUUCCCUAGCAAUUUGCCCGCCAGCUGCACCACAACCUGUUGAUCGAUCCACCACAUCCUCUGCUGGGCCACGGCGAAGCAGACUUCCCGCGCCAACCUGCACCACGAGUCUGCACUAUCUUGAGCUUGCAUCGAUGCAUCUCCAUCGUGAUCACCUCAAACCAGCCACGAAGUUGCUUGACGAUGAAUCAACCAAUUCCCAUUGCUCCGCCGUCGCCUACACCGUUGGCUUGUCACAAGCCCUACACCCCUGCGACGCCUCCACCUGCUUGUCGAGCCAUACCAGUAGCGCAAACCAAACUUGCUGCCCUCGUCGCGACAAAGCUGUUGUCCCUCACUGCCGGUCCCUGCUAUGAACACUGAUGUCUUGGCCCCAUCGUGAUUUGCCACCGAGAGUUCCCAUCUACAGACGCCCUGCCGCCGACUCCCAUGAUCCACCGUCUUUGGUUUGUUUCAGAAACGAAUAUUCGAAUUAGGUAAUUAUCUGGUCCAAAUUUGAAUUCGAUAUUUUAUUGCCUAAUUUGAUAUUAUUGUGAUCUAACUUGGUUAUUAAGAUUGUGUUAUGAUUCCGAAGUUUGCUUUAUUUCUAGAAUUUUAUUUAUUCAAUGCUUUGUUUAUUGAGUGUCAUUUUAUUAGUUGUGUACCCGCAUGAUCAUCUUUCAUAUAUUAGUGGCUAGGUCACAAGUAUUUUUUGAGAAUAUAGAAAAGAUACUAAAAGGGUGUAAUUAAGUCCAAAAAUCCAUUAAAUCUAUAGUUUGUAAAAGUAAAAUAUGUUCUCAUACUUCACUUCAAUUUAUAAUUGACCCACCAAUAAUAGAUCAAUUGCGUCUCCUUAAUAAAUUAAUUUGCAUGUUAAAAUUGAAUCGAAAGCUGAAAUUAGUAUGGGCUUAGAAGAGCUCCAGCUGUGUGAACUUAGGCCUUGUUUGGUAAUACUCUCGAGAAUAACUGAUUAUGUUUUUUAUUCCUGGGAGAAAAAAAAGAACAAAGAUUCGUUUGAUAAUUUUUUUUGUUUCCAGGAAUAGAUUUGGAACAGAAUUAAGAAGUAGGAAAAAAAUUGUUUUUUGUUCUUAGGAACAAUUCUUAAAAUCAAUUCCAAUUUUUUUCUACUCGUCUCUUUUCUUCUCUUUUCUCUUCCCUUUUCUUCUGGCCUCGACCAUGGCCAGCGACCAGCCAAAUGAGGGCUAAUGACCUCGCUAGAGCGUCAUCGGCCCUCAGCAACGCCAAGCCACGGCGAGGCUUGUUGGCCCAAGCCUCGCCUGGCCACCUCCAAGUCGGCAUUGCCUGGUGGUGGCCCGGUGGGGUUGAGUCUCGCCGAUGGCUAGGUAAGCUCGGGCUCGCCAGAUCUAGAUGAGGUUGAUCUUGCCUAGCCAACGCGAGGUCGAGGCUUGCCGUCACCCAGAUCUAGUGAGGUUGAGGCUCACCUCGGCAAGGCGAGUGUGGCACCCCUCGAACGGCCCCCGAUCCGCUAGGGUCGCCACAGUUCGCUUAUCUUUUUUUUUUCUUUCCCAAAUAACAUGUCACUCUGAUACCAUUUUUAGUUGUAGCGGGUCCAUACAACCAUGGGGGUUUACAUCUUUUAUUAACGGUCCCUUGCGCAAUUUAUAUAACGGAAGCAUAUCCAACAAUUCCCUUCCCUACAUUCAGAAAUCGAUGCACACCUACUAAACAUCUUAUAUAAGUUAAAACCAAACACGUUUAUUUACAUAGAGCAAAUGGACAUCAUUCACCGGUACAUCAAAAUGCCAUAGUUUUCUAUACUAGGCUAUACUUCAAAAGAUGACCGACGUCUCUUCCAAUAGUCAUACCCUUAAAGUCCAUCGAUCAGUGUCGGCGUCCAAAAGUUCCCUCCUUUGCUAUCCUUCUCCUCGCGGUCAUAUCCAACCGCUCAAUCCAUCUACUAAUCUAAAAUGUUGGUCCCCAAAAGGGGUGAGUACAACCGCUCAAUAGAUAAGGAAUCCAAUAACAACUCAAUGCAUCAUGCAAAUCAUACAUGCAUUGCAAGCGUAACUUACCUUGCAGCCAUGCGCAAUACUAUCAUGCAUCAUCAUGCCUUAUCAUCAUGCAUAUCAUAUCAUCAUAUGUCAUCAUUAUAAUCAUCAUCAUGGCAUCAUUAUAUCAUACAUGUCAUCCUUAUCAUGACAUCAUGACAUCACAUAUCAUCAUCAUCAUCAUGCAUAUCAUCAUGCAUAUCAUACCAUGGGUGAUCAUCAUAUCACAUCACAUAUCAUCACCAUCAUCAUGCAUAUCAUCAUGCAUAUCACACCAUGGGUGAUCAUCAUAUCACAUCACAUAUCAUCAUCAUCAUCAUCAUCAUGCACAUCAUCAUGCAUAUCAUACCAUGGGUGAUCAUCAUAUCACAUCACAUAACAUCAUCAUCAUCAUGCAUAUCAUCAUGCAUACCAUACUGUGGGUGAUCAUCAUAUCACAUCACAUAUCAUCAUCAUCAUCAUGCAUAUCAUCAUGCAUAUCAUACCGUGGGUGAUCAUCAUAUCACAUCACAUAACAUCAUCAUCAUCAUGCAUAUCAUCAUGCAUACCAUACCGUGGGUUAAUUUUCAUAUUUAUCUUUAAAUUUGAUCACCACAUCACCCUUCCUCAAUUCAUCAAUUUCAUCUAAUAUUUUACACUCGCAUCCCAUGCGAGAAAAACCUCCGGGCAUGUAUCCAAGAUACAACCGGGCAUCCGGCCCCUCACAUUCCGGGCAUCUCGCAUCCCAACUAGCAUCACGAGGAACCUCCGGGCAUGUAUCCAAGAUACAACCGGACAUCUGGCCUUUACCCUUCUAGCCAGGCAUUUCGCACCCAAAUCCUGGCAUCGCGAGGCAUUCCCUUUGGGCAAAGACCUCCGAUAGGGCUUCCGGAAUUAUGUACCGACAUACCACUAGAUCUCCCCUGGAAUUACGUACCGUAUACCACCGGGCAUCCCGACACUCCCGGGGAAAUCCGGCAAUGUAUCUCUAUACAUUCCGGCCAUCAUCCUCCACCACAACCAUUUCCUCAUUUCCCAUCAUCCACAUUGCCAAUAUUUUAAUCUCAAAUUAACAUGGCAUAUGGUGUGACAUCACACAAGUCAUACUUGGCAUAGGAUUCACACAUGCAAUCUCAGCUCAAUGUCAUACAUAUACCAAGACUUUAUCAUAUGCAUCUCGAUUCAAUGUCAUACAUACCCAAGACUUUAUCAUACAUGCAACAAGAUAAAUUUAAUGGAAUUUAUGGCCAAUAAAAUAAUCCCCUUUUAUCUUAUUAUUAUUAUUUUAUUUUUAUUUUUAUUUAAUUUUAUUAUCAUAUUUAUUUAUUUUCAUAAAUAAAUAUUAAAUUCAAUAUCUAUGAUUUCCCAAAAUCAUAAUAUUCAAACAAUCAUUAAACAAACCAAUAGGAUGACAAUUUCAUGCAAAAUUCAUGGCCAAAUUGAAUUUCACACAAUUUCACAAUUUCCACAAAAUAGCACAUGAUAUUCGGAUAAUAACCAGAAUGCACAGUUUCCAAAUAAAUUCGAUUAAAAUAUUCAUACGGCCUCCAAAAAUUACGAAAUUUUACAGAGUGAUAGCCCAGACAUUUUCGUGCAACUUUCAUGAAGACUUCCAAGCCAGAUUAAUUUUAUAUUAUAUUAUACAACCUGACGAAGCUUCUGGAUCCAUUACCGCAUCGUCCAGUGUACACAUCACCGAAAUAUUGAGAUUUCACCUACCUAUUCUCUUUCGUUUUCUUUUAAAUUUGGAUAUGUUAUACAUCAAGAUGUUUUCUACAAGUUUCAUAAAGAAAUAUAAGUCAAAUAACCAGAAUAUAGUCAUCAUUUAGGUCCUUGAAGUCUCGGGUAUCUCGGAAUACAUCACCAGAAUCACCGUCUACAAGAUCUAGUCGAUUUACUAAGAUAUACUUGUUCAUUUCACUUCAAAUCUGAGUAUAUUGUAAUUUAAUAUGUUCCCUACAACUUUCAUGAAGAGAUCGAAGAGAUAUUUUCAUCACAAACCAACAUGCAACCACGAAUCCAACAAGAGGUCAGUAAAAACUUUCCAGAUCUGAGGUCUCCGUAAGAUGAGACUUUAACCCCUCAAAUCUCCAUAAUUUUCCACGAAAUUUUAGUAUGUUGUAUUUCAAGACGUUAGCUACAACUCUCAUGAAGAAAUCGAAGCCACAAUCGGACUCCAAACACACAUGCAAGCUCAAACAAGUUUCUGACUCACACGGUCCGAGCAAGAACAGUCACACUCUUCACACACGACUCAUCCAUGCUUCGGUUUUUCUCAUCUAACAUCCAAAAAUUCGACAUGCAAACAUCAUACAAGCAUGCAAGAGAAGCUAGAGGACUCCCACUUGCCUCUAGACCAAAGAAAACGACGGCGUAGGGCGGCGAACACGGCAGCACACAGCGGCUCCUCCUCCUCCUUUCUCUCUCGGCUGCUCCCUCUCUCUCUCGCAUCUCACUCUCUCGGCUCACUCUCUUGGCCGAACAAGCCACUCUCUCUCUCUCCCUUUCUCUCUCUCUUUCUUUUUAGUGGCUUUUAUAUCGCAUGUGGCCGCCCAAGAUGGCCAAUGGGGGUAGCCACACCUUGCACAACCCCCAUGCCACUUGGCAGCUCGCAUGCAAGGCUUGUGGGCUUGGAUUGGGCCGGCAAAUGGGCUGGUCGACCACUCCUUUUGGGCCUCUAUUGGGCCGGCCAUCUUGGCCCAUUAAAGGCUUAGGCCAAUGGGCCUAAGGCCCAACCUAAAAAUUGACCUUUUCCCCCCCUUUUUUUUGAAUUCUUCUAUAAAUAUUUUUAAAUUUCAAUUUUCAUCUUGGCCAAAGUCUUGGGACAUUUUUGCUCAUUGAAAUUUAGUUUAUAAAUCAUAUGGCCAAGCAUAGAUUAUCAAUCUAUCAAAUUUAAAUUCUUACAAUCAUAUGCAUAAUUCAUCUAAAUAAAAAGACUAAUGGCUAAAGCAUAGGCCAUGGAAAUUUAUCACCUAAAUUAAAGACUUUAACACACCUUAUGGCUUGGCUUUGAAUUUCGGGAUGCUACAGCGAGCCUCUAGGAGAUUCACCAGACCUUGCCCAACCGAUUGCUAUUCACGAUGGUGGCUAGUGACUAGCAACAAAGAAGGAGAAAGAAGAAGAGAAAAAGAAAAAGAAAGCAAAAAGAAAAAGGAAAAAGAGAAAAAUAAAAGAUAUAUAUACAUAUAAUAAAAGUGUUAAAAAUUAAAAGAAACAAAAAAGUAUAAAAAUAAUACCAAACGCAUUUCUAUUAUGAGAAUAAAAUUUUGAACAGUUACCAAACGAGUUUUUUUACUCACAAAUUGUUCUCGAGAAUAGAAUCAGAAAAAAUCAUUUUUGAUAAAAAAAAAUUAUUCUAAGGAACAGAAUCGUUAUCAAACGCGCCCUUAGUAACCCAUUAACUAUCUCUUGGAUGGUUCAUCGAAGAGAAGGUCGUGACUAGAAACCUCAAACUACAAGAGCAAAGGUAAUCGUGCAAGGAAAAAUAUGCAAAUAAAUUGACUGAAAGUAAACAAAAAAUAUCUUGAGUCAAGAAAAAAAAUAACAAUAUUUUCUGAUGUUCAAUUGAAAUCUAAAAAUGAAAUGGAAAAUAUUUUCUGCUGUUCAAUAAAGAAAAUGUUUUCCUUCAUGUAUUCCUUUUCAAUAAAUUUUUUUAUUAUUUUAUUUUUAAAUCAAUUUUUAAGUUUUUCUUUUCUUUUCUCUCUCUUUUUUCUUCUUCUUCCUCGGCCACGAUGAUUGGUCACAGGCUAGCUCAAGUCUCACUACAGGUCAACAAAGCUCCUCGCCUAAGGCUAGCAGGCUCUAGCCUCACUAGAUCUAGCAAGAUAGGUGAGGCUUGAGCCUUGCUAGCUUGCUGGAUCUAGCAAGGCUCGAGCUUGCUCAAGGUUGUCAGGCUCACCUUGGUGAGGAGAGGCUCGACCUCAUUGGAAUCUAGUGAGCUCAAGCCUUGUCGGCUUGUGGCGAGGCUGGAGCUCGCCCGUGGUUGGUCGCUGGCUGUUGUGGCUUCAACUAGCCACGGUUGGCAACUAGUCAAAGAAGAAGAAAAAAAAAAAAAUUUAAAUGAAUUUUUUUAAAAAAAUAAAAUAAAUAUAAAAGGCAAAGGUGUUGAGUGAAAAAAAAAAACCUAGGUUUAGAAGUAAAGAAAGAGGAUGGCCAAUGUUUUCCACUUUCUAAAAAGUGAAAAAUAUUUUCCCAUAUUUUAGAAAAAAAUUGUUGGUGGAAAAUGCUUACCAGUUUAUAUUCUGUUAAACAAAUGCCGAAAAAUCCUAAAAACAUUUUCCAAAAGAUUAUUUUUUACGAAACAAUUGAAUUCUUAAUUAGACCGUUUUAGACCCGAUCGGAGUGAAUGGCAAGAUGGGCUGUCUUGGACAAGCGAAAAUGUUCUCAGACUUUAUUUGACCCGCUUUGGCCCGCCCAACCUUGAUCAAAUUUAUAUGAAAUAAUUAAUACUCUCUGUAUGGAGUGAUUUUAGGUUUGACUUACCCAUUGAUGAAAUCCUCUCAAUUUGCAAAGGUAAUAUUACUCAUUAUAGAAAAGAAGGGUGCCAAGAUAUGUAAUAUGAGUUUAUUGAUUUUAUCUAAUGUGAAAUAUUAUGAGUCCCAAAAAUCUUUUCUAAUCGGUUUAUUGAGUAAUCAAAUUUUAAGAACUACAAAAUCUAAAAAGUCAAAAUAAAACAUGUCUUAGGUAAUAUUACAGCGCCUAUCGAAAUAGAGGAAUGGGAGAACUGUUAAUCCAGGAGCUGGAUUUUCUAGGGAUCACGAAUUUGACAGCGGGCGGGAGCGAGAGUGGUCAUAAUUGGCGGAACAGAGUCAAGUCGAAUCUCUUUUCACAUGAUAACAACCACCACCCUUUGUAAAAGCCCUAAGGUCAAACCCCUCUUUUUAUUUUAUUUUUAUUUGGCAAAUAUUUAUUUUUGUUUUGUUUUAGGUCUACUAUUGAUGAAUUAUAAAAUAUUGCAUUUAAAGGGCUUCCUAAAACAUACCAACCAAUCUAAAUGGAAAAUUUUAAAAAGUUACAAGGAAUUAGAAGAAGACUUUUCCAUUUCCUCACUAGCCAUUACUCCGUGCACCAGAUGCAUGUGAGUCUAAUGUUCUAUAAUUGAUGAUAAGUCUUGCAUGACCGAACCCAGCAUGACCGUUGAUCACAUAGAUCUCGGUCGAAGCUAUCAAUCCAAAUUUAGGCAAGAAUUUCUCCCCAGAUGGACCUAUCGAGAUUAAAAUUGAUGCCACAUUGGGCUCACGAGGCAUUUUUGUUUCUAGGAAAAAGUUUUCUAAUCAUUCACUUUCGGCAAAAUAAACGCAUCCUUAGACUUUAUUUAUUUCCCAAAAAUUAAAUAAUUCAAAAAAUAUUUUUCUAAAAAUGAUCGUUUUUAUCACUUAAUAUAAUAAUUCAAUGAAAAAUACUUUCAUUAUUGACACAAUAUAUGUCUGAAGAUUGUUGUGGAUGAUGAAAAUAUUUUUAUUUCAUAUAUUUUUAUAAGUGAUAUGGACAAUUAUUUUUUAGAAAAAUAUUUCUUCGGAUAAUUUAUUUUUUGCUAAGUAAAUGGAGUCUCAGCUCUCAAAUUCCCAUGAUUUUGUUGACAUUUUUUUAUUGUUGUAUUGAUCCAACGAAAAUGUGGGCGGGCGAUGGCGAUCGCCACUAUGGGUGGGUGCCCGUGUAUCAACGUCACCGGCAUUCAGUGUGGGACCGGCCAUGGAAUUAGGUUCGGGUAUUCAACUCAACUGAAAAUAGUGCGAGGAUCAAGACAUGGGAGGUUGGUUGGUAUAAAUUAAUUUUCACAAACUAAUAACAAAAUUAGGCAAAUAUCCAAAUUCAUGUUUGCAUUAAUAUAUUUUACAGUGAAUUCAUCAUCUUUAUUUUAUUUUAUUGCAUGUAGAGUGAAUCUAGUUAUGUUAGCAGUAUCGAUUUUCAAAAUUGCUACUAUUUCCUACCCUCGUAAUCUGAUAAUAAUUGACCAGGACUAUUGUGAUGAUCAAUAGUAUUGUUGUAAGGUGAAAAACUAUGUUUCUAGUUAAUGCUUGCAUGGCUUAUUAGGGAUUUUUUAAAUUGCUAAUGUGUGCUCAUAUUGCUGCAAUCAUAAAUCUAUGUAUAAAAUGCAUUGAAGCAAUAGAACUUGUAAUUCCCAUGGUGUCUCAUUCAAACUGCGAUUGUAGAUAAUGUUAUCGAUAGUAAAGGUAAACAAUGUGAUGUAUCGAAACGUGAGAGAGACUUCGAGGAAUGAGCCAUCGAUCACGUUGCAUUGCACUGGAGGGGAUGGGUUGCAUGGACAUCAUGACGAAGCACAUCAACCUCGACUCUUCGGAACCCAAGAAGAGGAGCUACGCCGAUUGCAAGAAUGUUGUCAAUGCGCGUUUCACUUCCAUUGAUCCUCCCAUUUCUUGCCACACUCCAUAAGGUUAAUUGUUGUAGCCGACAACACUCAUGCAAUAAGUUAAUCGAGGUAGUUUUCUUUUCUUGACCAAUGAUCAAGAUAGAUCAUAUCGUUAGUUUAAUCACACUUACAUACGCCUGGUGGUCAAGAUAAUUUGUGCAAGUUUUGUAAUUCAUGGGAGGGCCCAAAAAGUGUUAGAAUUGACGUUCGGAUGAAAUUAUUUUCAUGUCUCCUUUUACUUUAUGUCACACCAUUUUGAGUCCUUUUUAUAAGUACAUUUGUUUUGUCGUCUUUUACUUUUUUGGUGGAACAGAACCAUAGCAUUAAUAUAAACACAGGUACAUAAAGAAAGAGCUCUCCAAGCAAGGUUGUCGGCAAUGCUAUCGUUGUAAAAAUGGAUAGUAUUGACAUCUGAAUUUUUUUGGCCGAUGCACUAAAUUUUUUUUUAUUUCUUUGGUAAGAUGCACUGAAAUUUUUUUGUUAAUUAUGAAUGUUAACAAAGACUCCGGUCAACUCAACUUGACCCGGGAUUCACCCUGCCCAUUAGGCCCGGACCGAUAUGACUUGAUCCAAUCCGGGAAUAAAAGCGUGCCUCUCUCUUUGGCCAAAGUUCCUAUACCACAUGGACUCACGUUCCCGUGAGUCAAUGUUCUCACUAUUCACAAUGAUCGCUUGGGCGUCUUUUUCUUUUGGUCAAGCAGUGCAAGGUUGAAAACCCCAGCGAAGACAAAGGCGUCUCUUUCACACUCGAACGUCUUCUUGCGUUCACUGUAGGGCAGUUGGAAAAAUGGGGAUGUCUUCGGAUUUAAAGAUGUUUCACGUUCGAAAGGAGAAAAGGACAGCACAAGGAAAAUAGGUCUUAUUUUAUUCCAAGGUAUCUUAGAAGGAGAAGGAGAACACGGUUUUCCCUAGGCGAAUUUUCCCUAUCCUUAUCUUGGUCGCUCUUCGUUAGCCAGCAGUAACUACCAGUCCGCCAUUGCCGGCCACUGACGAGCCUCCUUCUUAAAAAAGAACAAAAGCAGAGGGCAUGGACUGAGGAGAUUUGCGGCCUUUUUCGGGCGUCCAGAAGUCCCUCCCUCGAGGAUUCUCUCCGAGCCAUUUCUUUCCUUUUCUUUGCCAAUCCUCGCCGUCGUAGGGUCGCCGUGUCAUCAUUGUUGGUUCAGCAAGCGCAGUAAACCCUGUCUUGCCCCUGUUUUUGGGCUGUCAGAUCCGAAGCAACUCGUACGUGUUUGAAGCUUCAUGGCCGGCGUGCACUCUCAUCGGCAAUACUUUUCAAACCUGUAAACUUGACCAGCAACCGCAACCGAGAUCUCCUCCUUGGCAAGGUAAUGUUGAACCCUCUGCCUUUCCCUGUCAUGAGUGGAACGCCGAGACUCGGUUUCUUCCGUUCAUGCUCGUGUCGGAUCUGAAUAGGUUGGGUGUGUUGAUUUUCGAACAUUUCUGAGAGACUUCUUUCGAGCCUGGAUGGGAGUUCAAGUCUUGAAACGGUUAAGUACUUUUUUCCUGAAUCCACGUUCAUAACCUGUCUUACAAAAUGUCUAUAGGAGCGUGUUCGAUAUCGUUUCUAUUUUAGGAAUAAUUUUUUUAAUUUUUAUUCUCGAAAAUAAAGAUGUAGAUGUUUUUUACUUCUUUUUGUUUCAAAUUUAUACUAUUUUUUAUUCAAAAAAAGAAGUUAUUUGAUGUUAUCAAAUUUAUUUGUGUUCCAAAGAACAAACAAAUAAAAAUAAAAUAGAAAAAUAAAAUGUUACCAAACAUGUCAUAACAAUCUAGUGCAAGUUAGUUUCCUUUUCUUUUGUUUAACUCGAGAGCGUAUUGCCCUGGAUUAAGUCACCUUAAUUGUUUUUCAAAGUCUUUCCAAUGAAAGAACUCGUUUUUUUCUCCAUCAUCUGUUUUUCUCGUGUUCUAUGCUCGUGAGGUCACCAAUGGCGAUCAUCGGUGAGUUGAUGACGUUGUAUCCGCGGAUGUGUUUGACCAUCAUGUGUGCAUCUAAACCGGUUUUGCUUACGAUGUGCCUUUAUCUGCUUCCCUAACCAUGUCGUUUAUGUGUGAACGUGGUUGAUGAUAAAUGUGGGUAUUGAUGGCCGGUGGUCUGAGGGGAGAGUAAUCGGUAAAUUUGGUGGUGGUGGGUGAGCAAAGGCGAUGCUCAGUUUAAAGCUUUGGAGGUGUAAAUCAUGGAUGGAACCCUGUUUCUUUUCGAGGUGAUGCUAGCGGACAACCGUCGGAGGAUUGCAACAAAAACUUUCUUUCUCCAACACGAGUGCAUGGAAAUUGCCAAGUAAAACUCAGAGCUUUCUCCCUUUCAUGGAAAAUGAAUGGUUGAGGGCUCACCGUCUAUUUUCCAAAAACUUUCGUUCUCCAACAAGUGCGUGAAAUUGCCAAGCAAAACACACAGCUUUCUCCCUCUUAUGGAAAAUGUACGGUUGAGGGUCCAGCCUCUAUUUUCCAAGCUAACGGUACUAUUAGCAAAUCAAUUCCCUCUUGUCGUUUAUUGUAAAGGGUCCCUUCUUUCUGUACUCGCUCAAAGGCGAUUUAUUGUAAAGGGAAUUUGAUUGGCCAGUUGUACUGUUAGCUUGGAAAACAUAUGGCGAACCCUCAGCCAUAUAUUUUUCAUGAGAGGGAGAAAAAUUUGUAUUUUGCUUGGCAAUUUUCACGGGAAAAGAUUGUCAGAUGGUCACAUCACCAAGCUAGCAUCACCCUUUUGUAAAAUAACACGGGGUGGAGUUCUGGAAAUGGGAAGUGAGCGUGGAAGACGACGAGAACACAAGGAAGAGGAGACUGGGUUUAGUGUAGGUCGGCUUAAGUGAGAUUUUUGGGCUUAAAUUCUUUUGAUAUAUUUGGGCUUAGUUGUUCUAGUUAUGAUUGGGUUGGUGAUUUUCGGGUUUGGGAAUUGGCUUGAUGGAUCCAGGCUUAUAGUGGGCUUGACGCUUCUCUUUAGUAAAAAUGGGCUUACGUUCUGGUAGGUUCAAAUGGGUCUAGUUGAUUUGGGCCUAAUCCCUGUCUGGUAAAUAGGGGCUUGGUUUAUUUCUAGAGGAAAUUGGGCUUUUGAAUUUCUACUGGAGAGAGGCUUAACUCGCAGCCCUUUUGCCUGCGGCGGCCCGUGUCCAUGUGAAGCCCAUGCCUAAUCCCACACGCGGGUAAUAAUUUUUUAAGAAAGGGAAAAAAAUUCGAAAAAAAAAAUCCGAAAAUGGCUAGGAAUAGAAGCCUUGAUUAGGUUGUUAAAUCUUAGUGAUAUAUUUAGCUUACUUUCGGUUGGAUAACAUAACUCUUAAUUUUUCGAGUUUUAGUAGUUACUUUUGAUAUAGCUUAGACUUGGAUAGAUCAAUCUUUUAAGUAACAACUUCAACCCAAUUUGAACUUAACUCAUGGGACUUCUAUCAUGGGCCUUAAUAACAGAGCUAUGUGUAUUUUGUAAUUGGUGCUUCAUUGAGUGUACUUUCGGAUGCUUUAUCCUUAUUGCAUUGAUUAUGAUUGUCUACUUGUCUUUGAUUGUGCACUCAUGCAUGGAUAACAUUUAGAGGCAUAGGUUAAUUAAAAAUGGUCAAAGAUUGCUUGAAUUAUUUAGGUAACAAACCAAUCAAGUUAAGAGUACCAAAAGAGCACUAGUUAAACAAUUAGUGUAAUUAAGUCUUGCUCUUAAAUCUCUAAUUGCAUAAGAAGUAAAGUAUCCUCAUAUGCUUCACUUGACUUCCAGUCGACCUCAUAGACUAGUGGUGACUCCUAUUACGGAUAGAUCAAUUUCAAUUGUUGUUUCCUAAUGUCAAGUGAUUUAACAAUUUGGGAAAAUCCAUGCUUAUUGAAGAUUGUUGGUCCUAAACUCAACAUUACCUCCAAACCUAUCAUCUCCUUGACAUCAAUAGAUAGUGCUGGAAUUGUAAGCUUCUUUUCUUUUUUGGUUUAUGCUAGUAUUUCAGACUUACUUUGUAGAAUUGUUAAAAAAAAUCUUGUCAGAUGAUUGGAUAUUACUUGGUAAAUCAUUCUUAUUACUAAGUUUUAGUAUCUCUAGCUAGCAGUACACUAUAUAAAAUUUGAGUAAUUAGACAGUGAUGUCUUCUAUUAAUAUAUUAAUAGUCACAUAAGCAAAAAUUGAAACGACGAUUAAUGUCUAAAAACUCAUGAGUACGAUAACCAAUGAAAAUAUUUGUCGUAAUCCCUAACUUAUAUGGAAAAAGAUAAACAAGGGAAAUGCACAAAAUGAAAAUUGAGAUGAACUAUGAUAUCAUAUUAUAAAGGAAGCAUGCCAGAUACCCUUCUCAUUUUUUCACCUUUUCGCUCUAUUACAAUUUUCUCUCCUUUAUUUUUUUAAGGGGAUAAGUGCACUAGAAUUCUCAAAACUUUUUAAAAAGUGCAAUUAAGUUCUUAAAAUCUUAUCAAAUUGAUGCAAUCAAGUCGUUCCAUUAAUUCUUCUUAUAUUUCUUAUUCAAAAGCUCCAUCCUACUUGGCUAAUGUAAAAUGUUUAUUGCUAUUUUUUUCUCUCCUAUGUAACUAGACGUUACUAAAACAUGAAACAUGAAGCUAAAAUGACAUUGUUUUUAUCCAAAUCUUUCUUUUUCAAACCAAAUUUGAGUUAAAUUAGAUUAAUAAUAAAAAAAAGGCUUUUUAAAAAAAAAUAACACAAAACAAAUUGACCGUAGUCACUAUCAUUCCACCAUUACUGAAAAUGGCUGGCAAUGGUGGGGUGAUGCCCGAUUGCUCAGGUCUCUAGCUAACAGCCACUAGUUCCUACGUCAUUAGUCCUCACCUAAGGUUGCAAGGUACCAUUCUUUUUUUCUCUCUCUCCUUUUAUGAGUCCUAUUUUUUUAAAAAUGUAAGCUUUUAUUUAAAAUUUGGCUAAAAAAGAAUUAGAUUUAGACCAAAAUGAUAUUGUUGUAAGUAUUAUGUUUUUUGUUUAGUGAUGUCAACAUCACGUAGUAUAGAGAAAAUAUUAAACAAGUCAUUUUUUUUUCAUUAGUCAAGUUGGAUAGAGUUAAUGACAAGACUAGAUUACUUUAAUUUAUAAAUCUUCUAACUUAAUUGCACUUUUGAAAAUUUUAAGACUCAAUUGCAUUUUGGCGAUAAAUUUUAGAAUUUCAAGUAUAUUUAUCCUUUUUUUAAAAUAUUGUUCCACUUCUUAUUAAAUAAAUUAUCCAAAGAACCAAAUCAAUCUCUCGUACAAAAAAUUAUCAACCUAGAUCUAAUAUUACCAACCACAAACUCAUAACAAAUCUCCAAAGUCCAAUCUUCUGCACCCACCAACACUUACACCCGUCGAUCAUGGCUACCUAUCACAAGCACCGUAGCUUUGCUCUCUGGUGCAAGCCCAUCGUCUCUCUCUCUCUCUCUCUCUCUCUCUCUCUCUCUCUCUUGCAAGGACCAUGAAAGGGCAUGGCGACCUCAUGUCUUAGGGUGAUGGAGGCCGUGGAGACAGACGACGGUCGGAGGUUGUUGGGGUUGGACGGGAGUUGGGGAAAUCGGAAUUUGUGCUAAGGAAUGAAAAAUGGUUGUAAGUCUAGUCUAUCAACCGAUAUGAGGUAUAUGGUUAGGUACAUAAAACUUAUGGUACAAACUCUUAUUUCAAUACAAAGCGUAUUCUCUAAGCUUUGUAGUCAUUACGCCAAAGUGGUCAAUUGCGCAAUGGAGUGAAACAUGUCAUUUUCCAACGUGCAUGGACGCAUUAUGCUUUGACUAGGAAAAUAAAAAUCACAAUUGUUCUUUUGGGCUUUUGCUUCUGCUGCAUCCACUUAAAUCAAAUUGUCGACACCAGUACACUUGAAGUGCCAAAAACUUGGCAUGGAAGAAAAUUUAAGUACCAAAAAUUAUGAAAGUGAUACUUAAGUGCCAAAAUCGGAGUAAAAUGGAUUAGUUAAGGCCAACGAUGAGAAAAUUUGGCCAAAAUGCUAACGUAGUGAUUUUUCGACGAAAUAAGUGCAAAAUGACGUCAUUUUGCACAUUGUUGUCGUUAGAUAAGUACAAAAAUGACGUUGUUUUGUUGCUGACGUGGAUAAAUAAGUAAUAUAAAAAUUAGUUAAAUCAAAUUUAAAAUCAAAUAAUAAAAAAGAAAGAGGAGAUUAUGAAUAGUGGCUAAUGGCGCCGCCAGCUCUCUACCGUCACUGGGAAGGGCCAACGAUGGUGGGGGUUGCUAGGCCUUUGCUAGGGGUCGGCGACCCAUCUGACCAACGAUGAGGGCCUGCAAGCCCUUGCUUAGAUCUAGGGUGAGGGUCUUGGCCCUCGCCGCUAGUUUGCCGAGGUGGCCAACCCUCCCUCCAUCGUUGCCGACCCUUCUCGGUGACGACGGGGAGGUGGUGACAACGAGGGCUGAGCCCUCAACCGCUAUUUGUCUUCUUCCUUUUUUAAAAUGAUUUUAAAUUUAAUUUAAUUAAUUUUUAAAUUCAAAUUCAAAUCAAAGCCAAAAUGAUGUCGUUUUUUUUUUUUUUUGCUAAGUUAGCUCUCUGUCGAGCCACGUAAGUGAGCAAAAUUAAUAAAAAAAUUAUCACAUAAGAUUUCUAGCGGCAUUCACUGAAGGUGGCACUUAAAUGUUCCAUUUUUGUUUAAAAAAAAAGUACACAAAUGUCACUUUCCUAACUUUUGGCAUUUAAGUGUCCCUUGUGCUAAGUGUUGGCAUUUAGAGUGUUCUUUUGCCUCGAAUUGCCUCUUUACCAUAGCACUCAUAACUUAGCUUGCACCACCAUCUCUUGAUUUGUGUCACCAUCCAACACAAAAAAUUAUUCAUUAACAAUGCCUCAUCUGGUGUUGCAGGCUCUCUCGUGUCCAAACCAUGCUACUUCCAAUCCUACUCUCACUCUUCCUUGGUUCUCAGGAAGCUUAUUCUUCAACUUCCUCUUCAAGUCUUGAGCCUACAAGUUUCUUUUUCCCUUCUUUCAACCUUGGCUCCUGCACUAGUAAAGAGCUCAUUUGCAUGGGCUCCGUAAGCUCGCGAGAUGGGUAUUUGAACAUCACACCGGAGCGGGGUAAUUCAACCCUUACUCCGAUGCCGAUAAACCAGGUAGGACGGGUUCUUUAUUCCCAGCCAGUGGUUGCUUGGCCUGCCAUGAUCUCCACCACAUUCACUAUCAGGAUCACCCCACCGCUGAAUUCCACAAUCUCUGGCGACGGGAUGGCUUUCCUUUUUGCACAGGACGAUAGCCCCUCACCGCCUAACAGUACCGGCUCAUACAUGGGGAUUCUUGAUCGGUCUACUCAAGGUACUUCCACCCAAUCUUUUGUUAGAUGAAUACGAAAUAUGUGGUACUUUGCUAUAGAAUGUUGAUCAAAAAAUGAUUUCUUUUCAACUAAUAUUUAGGUGGCGUUGUUCGACAACUAGCCGUGGAGAUGGACACUUACAUGAACGAGUUUGAUAUUGAUGGGAACCACGUAGGCAUAGACACAACGAGCACUACUAACUCAGUCAUUGCCCAGAGCCUAACGAGCAUAGGAGUGAACCUAAGAAGUGGAAGGGACAUUAGAGUCAAAAUUGAAUAUGAUGGCUAUAAAAAUAAAUUCCAAAUCUCAAUAGCAUAUUCUGGGAAUUCGCUAACAAGCGUUCUCAAUUAUUCGAUCAAAAUGUCAGAAACGGUCCCUAGGCUCAUGUACGUGGGCUUUUCGGGAGGCACUGGUCCUCUUCCCGAAAGCCACCAGGUGAUUAACUGGGCAUUCAGCUCUUUUCCUUUAUCUACGGAGGAUAAGCGGCUCAAGAGAGACAACAGGAUCAAAACCAUACUGGUUCUAGUCGUGCCAAGCGUGAUGACGGUAUUGUUCAUUAUUAUAUGCGUCUACCUUGUUAAGAGAGCACCAAGGAAGAAAGACAAGAAGGACGCCGACAUAGAGAGCCAAUCAAGGGAGGCAGCAAACGUUCCAAAGAUGUUCACCUACAAGGAGCUAGCAAAGGCCACUCGCAACUUCAGCAAGGACAACUUGCUCGGCACUGGCGGUUUUGGAAGUGUUUACAAAGGGGUGAUCUCAGAUCCUCCGAUCGAAAUAGCCGUGAAAAGGAUCUCAGCAACCUCGAAACAAGGUUUGUUUCUUUACUUGUAUCAUGUCCUUUUAGUACAUUUUUCUUGAACAUGGUCCCCUAGAUAAGGUCUCAACAUUACAGAAACAUAGUGCUGAAGCAAUUUUGCACAUUUUGCUUUCGUUUAUAUUCAUUACCAAUUGCUGUGAAUAAAGUGGGAGAGCGAAAUUCUAUAUAGUCUCAAUAUAUCUAGAAUAGAGUACUUGGAGUCUAUUUAUAGGCUUGAAUAGAUGACAAUCAAGUGAAAUUAGAUCGGAUAUGCAUAAUCAUAAUAAUUAAAGAAAAUAUCCUUAAUAUCUCUAGAAGAUACCUAAAUAUCUCUAAUACUCCCCCUUAAGCUAGAGCAUAGAUAUUAAUCACAUCUGGCUUGUUACAAAUAUAUUCUAUCCUCCCAUGACCUAGAGGUUUAGUAAAUAUGUCUACAAGUUGUUCACCAGAAGUAAUGUGACUUGGAAGGAUCACUCUACUCUAUAGUUUCUCUUUUAUAUGAUGACAUUCGAUCUCAAUGUGUUAUGUUCUCAUGAAACACAGGAUUGGAAGCUAUAUACUGUAACCUUGUUGUCACACCAUAGAGGCAUAGGAACUUAAGUUUUAAAGCCUAAUUCAAUCAAUAGUUGCUGAAUCCACACUAAUUCAUAUGUCACUUGUGUCAUGAUUCUAUAUUUUGACUCAACAUUUGUGCGGACAACAACAUUCCAUUACUUACUCUUCCAUGAUACUAGAUUUCCUUUAACCAAGGUACAAUAGCUAGUGGUCUAUCUCCUAUUAUCUAGAGACCUUGUCCAAUCAACAUCAGAGAAUCCUUCAACUCUGCUAUGUUCACGAUUUUGGUAAACAUUCCUUUCCUUAGAAUCUUCUUCAAGUGCCCCAAAAACCAAAUAAUUGCAUCCCAGUGAAAUGUACAAAGAGAAGACAAAAAUUAGCUUACCACACUAAUUGGAAAUGCAAUGUCUAGUUGAGCAAUUGUGAGAUAAUUUAGCUUGCCUACCAAUUUUUAAUUAUCUCUCAAGAUUUUCAAGAAUCUCUCUUCCCUUAGCAACUAGAUUAUCUCCUUGUUCCAUUAGUAAAUCAAGAGGUGUUGAUCCCACCAUGCCUAUCUUAGUGAGCAAAUUAUGGGCAUGCUCUCACUAUAACAGAACAAUACCUUUUUGUGACCAUGUCACCUCAAUUUUAAAAAAAUACUUCAACUUGCCCAAGUCCUUAGUUUGAAACUAUUGCUAAAGAUAGAGCUUUAGUUUAGCUAUACUAACCAAGUCAUCUCCUAUAACAAUAAUAUCAUCAAAAUAUGCAAUUAAGAAUAACUUGCCUCCCCCUAAUUGUUUAUAAAAGAAGUACUCAUUUCCAUAUCUAAACAUUCCAAAAGAAGGUUAACUUUAGAAAAUCUACCAAACCAUGCCCGUGGGGACUGCUUCAAACCGUGCGACUUUUUUAACUUGUAAACUAGUCUCCUAAACGUCCACUAAGCAACAAAUCCUAGAGGUUGCUCCAUAUACACCUCCUCGUAUGCAAUAAAGCAUUCUUGACAUCAAAUUGAAAUAAUGACCAGUUAUAUGUGGCUACAAGAGAGAUCAAAAUACCAACAUAUGUGAACUUGGCAAUAGGAGAAAAGGUGUUUAGCUAGUCAACCCCACACAUCUAAGCAUACCUUUUCGCAACAAUUCUUUCUUUUAAGUGAGCAAGAGAACCAUCGGGAAUGACUUUGAUAGCAUACACCCAUUGACAACCAAUAUCAAUUUUGCCUAAAGGAAGAAGUACCAAGUCUCAAGUUUGAUUAACCUAUAAGGCUUUUAAUUCUUCUUCCAUAGUUGUUCUCCAACCUAAGUCAUAUAAUGCUUCUGCUACAAACUUAAGGACAGAAUAUUGUUCAACAAUAGAUAAAAAUGACCGAAAGAAAGGAGACAUAGAAGAGUAUGAACUAAAGUUUGCAAUAGAAUAUUAAGUACAAGCAUGAUGUCUUUGUGAUGAAGAAUAUGGGUAUGCUAAUGGCAAAUCUAGAGCUGAAGAUGACAUAGUAGUGGUGGGAGGAAAGGGGAAGCAAUAUCUACUUGAGGAUGCUUAGUAUAGAUCUUGAGAGAAGUUGGUUCUUGUGUAAAUAUUAGGGAAAUUGGUGGAUCAAUUGACCAAAUGGUGAUCACAUGUAAGAUUUCAUCCACCUCAAAAAUAGUAAUUGAAACAUCAUGAUAUGCAAUAGAUUCAAAGAAGGAAACAUCAAUAGUUAUAAAGUAAUUAUGCAAUGAUGAUGAAUAACAAUGGUAUCCUUUUUAAGUACGAGAAUAAUAUAGAAACAUAUACUUGAUGGCCCUAGGAUCAAAUUAUAAUACUUCAGGUCAAUGACCACGAACAAAACAGAAACAACAAAAAAUACAAGGUUACAAGAAAAAUAAUGAUUGAUUGAGAAACAAAUUAGAAAUGGAACACAACCUUGUAAAACAUAAGGAGGCAUGUGAUUAAUUAGAUAGUUUGCAAUCAAGGCAACAUUAAAAAAAUAAAAAAGUUUUACAGAUCUUCAUCUAAAAUAACAUGGACCUGGUGACUUUCGAUAAUGCUUAUUCUAUCUUUCAGCUACAUCAUUUUGUUGUGGUGUAUCAAAACAUGAAGAUUUGUGGAUCAUACCAUGUUGAGUCAUAAAGUCAAAAAAGAUGCAAAAAAGUACUCUUAGCAUUAUCAAAAACACAAAAUUUUAACAUGUACACCAAACUUAUUAUGAAUUUCAAAAUUAAAAGCACAAAAUAUAAAAAAACAAUUCUAAAUGACUUCCCAUUAGAUAUAGCCAAGAGACUCUAGAAUAGUCAUCAACAAAAGUAACAAAGUAUCUAAAGUCUACUAAAUAUCUGAAUGAACUAACAAAAAAGAGGCAUUGCUAGCUUAAUGACUCAAGGCAAGUAACUAACAUGAUGCAAUUUGCCAAGUUGACAUAACUCACACUCCAAACUAGAAAGGAAUUUUCUAAUGUCUUCCAAGACUGCCUAGAUCAACUACAUUCUGUCUAUCGAAGUUAGCUUAACAAUUUUCUUUUAUUGCUAAAAGUCGGCACUAUCCUCAAGCUUCCUAUUGGUAAUUCAAUUAGAAGAAGAGGAAAUCACCUCAGUCAUCAUAGUUUUACUCUUCUCAAAAUCACCCAUUCUGUAGUAAGAAUAAGAAAAUUACCACAAUAUUUUCCUUCAAGCAACUCAACUUCAAUAAUUCAACACAAUUGAGAAAUAUCAUUGAUAGACCAUCGACAAUGUUGUCACAACACUAACAACCAAUUGAACAAACAAUCCAGACAUGGGUAUAGAGUACCUGUAGCCUUCGAAGGUUCUUUAGGUAGAAAGUUGAUGCACCAAUGGUCAUUCCAGCUGACCAAUCAUAGGAACAAGGGAAACAAAGACCACAUUAGAUAACCCUCCCAGAUUUCGUAUAAAUCUCACAGAGUCAAUUCUUGCAAAGUUAAUUCUCGCAACCCAAUUUCCUUGAAUUUACCCUUAAGAUUCCAAACAUCCCUACCUCUAAAGACCAUGCCAAUUAACUUCACCAAACUGCACAACAACUCACCACCCACUCACCUAGUGCACUGCAUAACGAAACAUCUCAAUUAGUGUAAGCUAAGCUAAAACUGCCAAAAAAUUCCAAUCUAAUCCAAUAUAACUCAACCAUCAGACAGAGGGCAUGAUUUAGGCAGUCUUGGAAGACAUUGAAAAAAAUAGCAAAAAUUGAGGGAAGCACCAAAUUGACCUCAGCGAAGAGUGAGAGUUAAGCCCAAGAACCUAUACGCCAAUGGUGGAAAGCCAAAGAGAGGGAGCAAGUGACAUUUGACAAUGCCAAAUCUGACCUAGGUUGGAUGGCGAUGCUAGGCAAUGCUAGAUCUAGGUUGGUGACUCUUUUUUUUUUUUUUAAUAAGAAUUUCUACAGCGGGUGAUAGCUCAAAUACCAUGUGAAUAAAGUGAGAAAGAGAAAUUAUGUUUAAUUUCAAUGUAUCCAUAAAAGAUCCCCCGUUAAUUAACUUAAGGCAAUUUUUCAACCUCAAAUUCAACAGGUGAAAGACAGUAUUUGGCAGAGAUAUGCACAAUUGGGAGGAUGAGGCACAAGAACAUAGUGCAGCUCCAAGGUUGGUGCCACGAGGGGGAACAACUUCUACUAGUCUACCAAUACAUGGCCAACGGUAGCCUUGACCGCUUUAUCGGCAAGUUAUCCCUCAAUUGGGAGACUCGGUAUGAGAUCUUGACUGGUGUGGCAUCAGCGUUACUUUACCUCCAUGAAGAAUGUGGGAACCCUGUGGUCCACCGGGAUGUCAAGCCCAACAAUGUCAUGUUGGACGCCAACUACAAUGCCUACUUGGGUGACUUUGGGCUCGCGAGGUUGAUCCAAAGCGAUGUCUCAUUGACAACCAUGCUCGCAGGCACCCCCGGGUACCUAGCCCCGGAGGUGGCAUACUCAGGGAAGGCCACUUCAGAGUCAGAUGUGUACAGCUUUGGGACGGUGGUCUUGGAGGUGGUGUGCGGGAAGAGGUCAAAGGAGAUCAUAGAAGAGAACAACUUGGUGGAUUAUGUGUGGAAUCUCUACGGAGAAGGCUCGCUCUUGGAGUGUGUAGAUAAGCAAAUGGAAGGCCAAUUUGAUGAGGAACAAGUGGAGAGGGCACUGAUAGUGGGCCUUGCUUGCUUGCACCCGUACUCUGCGUGCAGGCCGAGGAUGCGAAAGGUGGUCCAAACUUUCCUAAACCUGGAUGAGCCACUGAUGGAUUUGCCCAAGUCCCGGCCUAGCAUGACCAUUGUGCCAGUCUCAUUUUCAGGCUUGACCACCGUUGGCUACUCCUCCACCUCCAGGACCAAGUC